rnacentral:lncRNA from 1 species
GCACCGGGGACGGCCAAGGGACGCUCGAGCGCGAGUUCCUCAAAUGUUUUCCUGCGUUGCCAGGACUGUCCGCGGCUCUGAGUCAUGUGCAAGUGGGAAGCUGCCCUGACACCGCGCCGGGCCAGAGGGAGCUGAGUUGGGCGCUCGGCGGGGCCGAGGCACUCGGCUGGGAGCGGAGCGCGGCCGCGGAGGGGCUCGGAGGGGCCCGCUCGCCCUCGCGUCGCCCGGCCCGGCCCGGCCGCCCCCCACCUGCCUCCCUGGGACCGCGGGCGGCGGCCGAGGAGGAAGCAUGCUGGCCUUGUGCGCGCUGCUGGCCGCGCUUUCUGCGGCGCCCGGGGCGGCGCUGGCUCCAGGGGACUGCGCGGCGCUGGGUAAGGGCUCCCGCGCGCCGGGGGUCGCGGGCGGGUGGGGGAUCCGCCGUGGCCGCUCACGAUCGGGCGGGGGGUGGCGGUGGGGGGAGACUGGAACGAGCAAAGGAAGUGAGGUCGCCCCCCUUUUUUGUGGCUACCUUAGGUGUCCGCGGGCACCAGUCGCCAGAGCAGGGCUGAUCCCGCUGCGGGGGUGGGUGCGCCCCCUGCUGCGUGCUGCUGCGCUCGGGUCUGUCUGUGCCUCGGUAGCUACCUGAGGUCUAGGUACAGGACAAGGACCUGACUCCCGCGUCCCAGAGCCCCAUGCAUCUAUUUUCUCCGGUUAUUCUAAGUGGAGAUGCCACCGAGGGCGCCCCAGCGGGGCAUCCUAUGUCCCCGCACCCCGCUUCUCCCUUGUGUUUGAGCGGGGCACCCCGCCUGGUUCUACCCCAACCCUCUGGUGUCCGUGUGGAUGACAGUGCCCUGACUGUGAAGUCUGACAUCACGGGCGCUGAGUCACCGAUUCUCCCGCCGCACGCACUCGCUUCAGGGGGCACCAGCUCUGGCAAGCCAAUUGUCCCGUCCUGGGAAUUUAACUGAGUGGGCAGCAAGGCAUUGGAACCUUCUGGGGGUGACCUGAGCUGGAUACCCCUUUCAGACUGGAGAGUGAGGGCCUCGUGCCCCUGUGGACUGCACUCUGCCCCCGCUGCCAGGCCUUUCCAUGGGUCUGGCUACGCGCCCAGCGGCCUGCCUGGGCUUCGCUCUAGAGGACCUGCUGCUCUAGAGGGUUGUUUUAGGGUCUGAGGGCUUCUUUGAGGACACAACGGAAAACCAAGGGGCAGCCGGUAGAUAUUUGGAACGGAUGGCUGGGAGACAGUGGCUCUGGCUGUCACUGCUUAUGCCACCCUGAGCUCCUGGGGGAACCACUUUUUAGAUUUCUCCCCGCAGGAAAGGUAAGGUCCACACAGGUGGAAGUUGGGCUGGAAUGCCUGUGGCUCUCUUCGCUUUCUGGAUGGUUGUGGUCUUUGAGUUCAGAAGAGAAAAGUUACUGCACUAACAGGCCAGUGUUGACAGAGACCAGGGUUUACACAUCUUCUCCUUCCCCUUGCCCUUCCCCUUCCCCCCUUCCUCCUCCUCCUUUUUUUUUUGGUGCUGGUAUUGCACCCCGAGGGCUUCACCGCUGAGCGACAUCCCCAAAAUAUUUUUGAGACAGGAUCUUGUUAGCUGAGGCUGCCUUUGAACUUGGACUCCUCCUGCUUCAACCUCUCACUGUGGCUGGGAUUACAGGCAUGCACCACUGUGCCUGGCUACAGGUUUUUUUUUCUUUUUUUGGCCAGGGAUUGAACCCAGGGAUGCUUAAUCACUGAGCCACAUCCCCAGCACUUUUUAUUUUUUUUUUAUUUUUAUUUUGAGACAGGGUCUCCUUGAGUUGCUUAGGGCCUUACUUGGUUGCUGAGGCUGGCUUUGAACUCCUGAUUCUCCUGACUCGGCCUCUCAAGCCACUGGGAUGACAAGCAUGAGUCACCAUGCCUGGCUUCACUUUGACGAAGCUACAGGUUUUUUUUUUUUUUUUUUUUUUUUAAUUCUCCACUGAUCUACAUAAAACUUUGAAAGAGGCGACUGAAGUUCAGAGAGUUUGGGAUGGGAAGUCGUCAAGCCUACCUGAUGAAGGCUUACUCCUCUGUGGCUCUGUGCUUUACUGUGGCAGAUCCCCGAGACUCCCAGAUGUAGAACUGGACCCGCAGACAGAGCUGAGGAUAGUUAGGGGCAAGCUGAGAGCCACUGGAUGCUGGGGCAGAGAGACUGAGCAAGGGGAAGUGGAGGCCAAGACCUGCUCUUGGUGGAGUCAGAGGGAUGCAGAGGCCUUCCCAGCUUCCCCAAGAAGGGAGCAGGGCUCGCUGCCUGCCUGCUCCUACUCCUGCCACUCCCCAGGGCACCUUCCCAGGAGGCUGCUGCUGCUGCUGGAGGCGUCCUUUGGUUCCUAGGUAGCUGCAAGGCCCUGUAAGGACAGUCGUUGUGCUCAGUUCUGCUUCCCUGGUGCUCUGAAGAGAUGGGCAAGGGGAUCUCAUGACAGAGCGCUUGUAAAAGACAGAAAUGAGAAUUGGGGGAGGAAGUGAAAGCCCUCCCAGCUCAGAAGGAAAAUGCAGAGAAGGAGAAGCAUGCAGCUCCUCUCCCACACCCACUCAGACUCAGCCCACAAACUGAGAGCAAAAAUACAGCAAUUGUACAGGAAGCCCGGAGCAAAUGACUGUGAGAUAGCCCGCUGGAGAGAAAUGGGGGGCAGAGGAGGCAGCGGAGGCUGAGCAGAGGGGAAACCUGCCGGCCUGCCUGGGCGUGGAACUCGCAGAGCCCAGAGGCAAGCUUUCCCAGGGUCAGCAGCCAUCCCAGGUCCAGGUGCAGCCAGGACUCCUCAGCAUCCUUGCCUAGGAGAAGGACCCCGGGCCAGCUGGGUCUCAGGCUUCAGCUCUGACAUUCAGGUGUCAGGCUGGAAGCCUGGGCGUGGGUCAUUCCAGUUCCCCUCGGUGCAAGAAAAUACACAGAACGCCAUGCACACCUCUAAGUGUCUCAGAGUCCGGUCAGGACCUCUGAAUUUCCUAUAGGGCAAACUCUCCCUCCCUCCCUCACCUGUUUGUAUCCCUAGGCUCGCCCUCCAUCAGUGUUUCUCAGAAGGAUUGUUCUGGGUCUAGCCUGAGGUUUGGGGUCUGUGUUGGAUGAGUGGAGUCUUGGUAAAACGCUGAUUCUCAGCGCCCACCCCAGAUUGAUGGGUUGAUGGACGGGUACUGGGGCUUGAACCCGGAGGAGCUUUGCCAUUAACAGGUCUUGCUAGGUUUCUGAGGCUGGUUUUGAACUUGAGAUCCUCCUGCCUCAGCCUCCUGAGUUGCUAGUAUUACAGGUGUCUGCCACUGUGCCUGGCUCAUGCCUAACUUAUUAAAUACGAAUAUCAGGGAGUGAGUUCUGAAAAAAAAAAUUUUUUUUUUUAAACAAACUGCCCUUCAUGAUUCUUAGGCACCAUCGGGGUUGAGAACAUCUGUCUACAUGGUGUGAUUGAGGAACUGAAUAAACGCCCUUCCCCUGCAGCCUCCCAGCUGCCAGAAGUCUGUCCUCACUUUGGCUCUGUCCCUUGUUUAUCACUGCAACAAACAUUUUUUUUUUUUUUUGAGUCCCUGGAAAGCCCAUGAGGCCUCCGUGGGAUCAGCCACUCAGACUCCACCCUGAAAGGAGCCUGAAAAUGGUCAAGUACAAAUCCUGAAGAGGACAGAGAAAUGCAGUCUCUUUGACUUGCCUGCUUGGUACCGACUCCUCACAGACAAAUUGGCUAGGGAGGUGGCCAGAAAAAAGUGACCCUGUUGGAGGACCACAGUCACCAAGAGCACCAACCUGACUCCAUCCCCUCCUCUGGAUCCUCAGCAAACAGAGUAAACAGUACUCCCCGCAUGGGGAACUUGUAGGGUACCCAGAGCAACCCGGAUGCUCACGGCUGCAAGUAGGCAGCUUCCCUCUGCCCACCCUUCCCUCUGCCCACCCUUCCCUCUGCCCACCCUUCCCGACUCUCCACACUUGCAUCCAGAGUACUCCCAGUCACCAACUCUAAUCCAGGCCCAAAGCUAUCUAAUAUGCUAGCCAGUGGCCAUGUGUGGUCAUUUAAAUUUAAAAGCUAAUUAAAAUCAAAUCAAACGUGGGGCUUAGUGGCAUGUGCCUGUAAUCCCAGCAACUAGAGAGGCUGAGACAGAAUAGCAAGUUUGAGUCCAGCCUCAGCAACUUAGUGAGACCCUGUCCACCCCCACCGUAGAAUAAAGUAAAAUAAGAUAAAAUAAAAAAGACUGGGGAUGUGACUCAGUGGUUCGAUCCCUAGUACCAAAACAAAGCAAAACAAAAAGUUAAACCGAAUGAAAAAUGUAAUUCCUCAGGUGUAUUAGCCACAUUUCAAUGAUCAGUGACCACUGUAUGGGCAGCCCAGAUACAGAGCAUUCCCCCGUCAGUGGAAGUUCUACCCGGCAGUCCUGAUCUGUGUCUUCUAGAGGUUUCUGUCUGUCCUCCCCCCUUCCCUUCCCCCUGUCUUUCUCUCCUGUCCUCCUCCUUUCUUUCUUGGCACCGGGGAUUGAGCCAGGGCCUCAUGCUGGACAAGCUCAUUCUGCACAGGUAAUGGCUGAGCCAGACAGAGAGAUCUCUGCCCCACCUGCCAGGUAAAAAGAAGGUAGCCUUGGGCAAGUGACUGAAUCUCUCUUGAGACUCCAUGUCACCAUCUGGAAAAUAUAAAAAAAAAAAUCAUACAGCCGGCCCUCUGUACCUACAGGUCCCAUAUCCAGGGAUUCCACCCAAGUACACUGAAAAGUAAUGGAAAAAAAACAUUGCCCUCAUACUGAACACGUACAGAUAGUAUAGUUCUAACAAGUACGCAGACAGCGUUUACAUGGUUAGGAGGGAGGACCUAAAGUGUAUGGGAGGAUGUGAGCAGGUUAUAUGUAAAUACUUGUCAUUUUAUAGAAGGGACUUGAGCACUCACAGAUUUGGGUAUCUGAGGGGGUCCUGGAACUGAGGAUGACUGUACUACCUCACAGGGUGGAAUGAGGAUUAAAUGCGCUAAGGAAUAUUUCAGAAAAGUCCCCAGCACCAAGCAAGUGCAGUGAAGCCAGCUCAGUGGUGCACACCUGCAAUCCCAGAGACCUGGGAGGCUGAGGCAGGAGGAUCUCAAGUUCAAAGCCAGCCUCAGCAACCUAGUGAGGGCCUAAGCAACACAAUGAGACCCUGUCUCAAAACAAAAUACAAAAAAAGGUCUGGGGAUAUUGUGUCUCAGUGGUGAAGCACCCUUGGGUUCAAUCCCCAGGCCUAAAAUAGAAUACAAAAGUAAAAAGAGCUGGGGAUACGGCUCAGUGGUAGAGCACCCCUGGGUUCAAUCCCCAGGGCUGCAAAAAUAAAAACAAAAGUGUAGUUAAUCAUUUAUUCGUUUCAAGAUUUAUCUUGAGCUCCAAUUGUGUUGCAGGCACAAUUCUAAGAGUGAGAUGCAGAAGUGAACAAAACGGACAGAAAUCCCCAGGUUAUGCAGCUUCCUUCUAGCGGGGGAAAGAGCAGGAUGUAAAUUAAAAAUAUAGUAUGAUAGCAACUAGUGCCAAGGGGACAAGCCUGGGAGAGAGGGUGGCACUGUGGGUUGGGGACGGUGUGAUGCAGAACUGGUAUUUUAGGGGACGCCUGGCUGAGGGGUGAUGUUUGAGAGAAAGCCUAAUGGGAACAGGAAAAUAUUUAGAGAUUUCCUGGGCUCCCGCCUCCCCUGAGACCAUCUAUCCUUCUCGAGGGCCUCUCAUGUUCUGGGGCAGAGGGUUCUGUAGGGAUACACAGAUGUUCCCCGCCCCAGAGAAGCUGCGGUGUCUCUGAGGACAGAGGCCUCAGCCAUUCAGCCCUGUGGACACCAGCUGGGCAGGGAUGUGCCAAUUGUCACAUCAUUGACUCUGGGUGAGGUGCAGAUCUUUUUUUUGGCAGUACUGGGAACUGAUCCCAGGGGUGCUUCACCACGGAGCCACAUCCCCAGCCCUUUUUUAUUCUAUAUUUUGAGACAGGGUCUCACUGAGUUGCUUAGGCCCUCACUAAGUUGCUGAGGCUGGCCUUGAACUUGCAAUACUCCUAAUAGCUAGAAUGCAGACAGGCAUCUCCACAGCCAGCUCAGAGGGUUUUUGAGGGCUGCAGUGGCCCUGGAAGGCAGAGAAAGACUUUAAGCCUCACCCCUGGGGGUCCUUGGGGAGUGCCUUUUGGGAAGUCAAUCUGUGUGCUCCGCCCACUGCCCUUCCCUAGGGAUCAGAGAUGUCUGAAGUCCCUAGCAGCGGGGAAACCUUGUCUGCUACAGUCCUGGGCUUGGGUUUCACUUUUAACUGAAACUCAGCAGACUACCCUCCUUCCCAUCUGCCUCUUGCCAGCUCUGUGCCUGGCUUUGUCCCCAUCUGUGUGGCCCUGAGGCCUUGCACCCAGGCUGUCCCCCCAGCAACCUUUCUCCAACUCGCUUCCCUCUCCUCUUCCUAAACUCCUUCCUGAAAGCAUCCUUUGGUCUUCCCUGUCUACGUGACAAUUGCAGUAAAUGCGACAAUUUAUGAAGUGCUAACUGUAUGUAGGAAGUGUGCCAAGCUCUUGUGCCUGCGACCAUCUUGAUUCUCCUUAACAGCCUUAGGUGGGAGGAACGCAGCACCCUGGCCUGGGUGGGGUGGGCUACAAACCGGACGCACGCAGGUUUUGUGGGAAGGGAGGGUCAGAGGUCAAUUUGAGAUGAGACCACCUAAAGAGCAGGCUUCCGGAGAGCUGGUACAGGAGGAGGCCUGAGCCUAGGGAUGGAUGUGGGGCCUCCACAGGUGGAUGCUAUUUUAAGCCCCGACGCUGGCCGUGAUCACCCUGGGCUGGAUAAUGGGGAAAAGAGGGGGCCUGAGCCUCUUCUGGAGCCACAGGAAGAGGAACCAGCAAGGGGACUUGAGAACAUGUGGCCAGUGAAGCAGGAGAGAGAUGGGGACAGUUGUGCUCCCAAGAAGAGUGGUUUCUCCCGAUGCUGAGCGGUCGGCCGGGGGGACCAAGCUUGAUUUAGCAACAGGCAGGUACCUGGUGGUGGCCUUGACCCGGGAAGUUCUGGUGAAAGGGCAGGGACCCAAGGCUGGUGAACAGGAGAAUAGGAGAGCCCCAGGUGGUGGCACUCACCUGUGAUCCCAGUGACUUAGGAGGCUGAGGCAGGAGGAUGGCACAUGCAAGACCAGCCUGGGCAAUUUGGCAAGACCCUGUUUCAAAAUAAAAAAGGGCUGGGGUACGGAUCUAAGGUGGAGCACCCUGGCUUCACUCCCCAGUACCCGUCCCUCCAGAAGAAAGUGAAAGAGGGAAAGGAGAACAGGAGGGAAAUGGGAAACAGGGGGUAGGGGACGCUCUUGAGGAGGGCAGCUGUCAACGAAUGGCGUGUUCAUGAGCCAAAGUACGGUGGACUAGGGGGAGGCUGUUUGCUUGUUUUUUUUUUUUUAAAAAGAGUGAAACAGCAGCAUGUUACAUGCUGAUUAAAAGGACCUAAUAGAGACUGAAACAUUGACAGAGAGGUGACCUUGUAUAGGUGAAAAGAAACAGGCUCAGAGAGGUUCAGUAACUGGCUCAAGAUCACACAUCAAGGAGUGACAGGGGGCUGAGCUUUUUCUACCACAUCAUGCGUGUUGCCAACAAGCCCUACUCUUCCCAGGGCAGAGGGACAGGGAGGUCGUCUGUCUUCCCGGUGUCCUCACUAGAAACUCACUGCACCCCUUCCUGUUGGUGUGACCAGGACAGCCCCCUCUUGCCCUAGGAAGUACUUAUUGCCUUCCCCUCCCCUCUCGCUCUUUUCCCUUGGAACUGGGGAGUGAACCCUGGACACCCAACCACUGAGCUCCAUCCCCAGCCCUUUUUUUGUGUUUUAUUUAGAGACAGGGUCUCAUCAAUUUUUAGGAAUUGCUGAGGCUGGCUUUGAACUUGAGAUCCUCCUGCCUUAGCCUCCUGAGCUGCUGGGAUUACAGGCCUGGCCUCCAGUAUUGCAGAAAACCCCAAACUUUCUCUCUCUCUUUCUCUGUUUUGAAUUUCAUUGCAUGGAUAUACAGAAUUUAUUUAUCUCGUCCCCCACCCUUUAAAAUCUUUCUUUUUAGUUGUAGAUGGACACAAUACCUUUAUUUUGUUUAUUUAUGUGGUGCUGGGGAUCAAACCCAGUGCCUCGUGCAUGAUAGGUGAGUGCUCUACCACCGAGCCACAACCCCAGCCCUCAAGUCCCCUUUUGAUGGACAUUUAGUUGUUUCCUGCCUUGCUAGACACUGUUGUGGGGAUACCAUUGCAUCCCUCAUGUGACAUGAGUGCAUAUCCUGCGGGAUAAAGUCCUCAAAGUGGGGUUGAUGAGUCAAAAGAUACGUGUAUGUAUAUGUGUGCAUGUGUGUGUGUGUGUAUAUAUAUAUAUUUGGUCCUGGGGAUUGAACCCAGGGGGCACUUAACCACUGACCCACAUUCCCAGAUCUUUAUUUUUUAUUUUGAGACAGGGUCUUGCUAGGUUGCUUAGAACCUCGCUAAAUUGCUGAGGCUGUUUUUGAACUUGCAAUCCUCCUGCCUCAGCCUCUCAAGUUGCGAUUUAUGAUUUUGACUGAGAAUAAACGUUGCCCUGAUUUAUACUCCUAGUGACAAUGUGAUGACCUCACACCUCUUCCAGUGUGUUAUUAAAGUGGUGUCUACCUAGAAAAUGGUAUCUGGGUGGAAUUAAUCUGCAUUUAAUUUAUAUGAGUGAGACUAGAUUUUUUUCCCCACAUGUAAUAGGCUUUAGCAUAAUCUAUUCAUAUAAUCUACCUGUUCUUUUUUUUUUUUCCUUUGGUACCUGGGAUUGAACCCAGGGGCACUUAACCACUGAGCCUCAUCCCCGGCCUUUCGUUAUUUUUUAUUCUGAGACAGGGUCUUGCUAACUUGUUUAGGGUCUCCCUAAAUUGCUGAGGCUGGCUUUGAACUCAAGAUCCUCUGCCUCAGUCUCUCCAGCCGUUGGGAUCACAGGUGUGUGCCACCGCACCCGACUUUCAUUUUUUAAAAAUCUUUUUCUUAUUGUUUAUGGGAGCUCCUGAUAGAUCAAGGGAUUCAGUCCUGCUGUAAUGAGUUGAGUUGUGGACAUUUUUUCAGGUGGUCAGUUGUCUUGUGACUUUACUUUUUGUUAGUUGGGGUCAGUUUUUGCCAUGCAGAUGUUUGUUUUUGAACUGUAGAUGAAUUCUUGGCUUCUAGGUCGAUAGUGUUUUUUGUUUUUUUGUAGUUGUAUAUGGGCCGCGUGCCUAUAUUGUGUUUGUCUAUGUUUUUAAUGUGGUGCUAAGGGUCGAAUGCAGCGCCUUACAUGUGCUAGGCAAGCACUCUGCCACUGAGCUACAGCCCCGGCCCAGUUAAUAGGUUCUAAAAUAUUCUCCGUUUCCUUCUGGUGCUUUAAAGUAUUAUUAUUAUUUUUAAUGUUGUUGUUGCUGUUACUAUUUUGUAUGGGGGAUUGAACCCAGGGAUGCUCUACCACUGAGCUCCAUCCCCAACCCUUUUUAUGGUGAGACGGGUUUCCCAGGCUGGCUUUGACCUUGCCAUCCUCCUGCCUCAGCCUCCGAGUCGCUGGGUUAUGGGUGUGCACACCCAGUCCUGGCAAAGCAGGGCUUUUACUGGAUCAUUGGGAAAUUCACUGAACUUGACUGCUCUAUUCCCCCUGAAGGUCCUUGGGAUCAGACCUUCGCCACCACCCCUGGUCCCACACUGUUUCAGAUGUGGGUAAGGCUGACCCUCCCAUUUCUGUUUUCUCAGAAUCUCGCUGGCUCGGUCUCCUUGUUUACUUUCCCAUUUGAACUUUAGAAUCAACUUGCCGAGUUCAAAGAAAAAAAAAAGUCCUGUUGGUAUUUUUAUUAGCACAGAGUCAACUUGAGGAAUUAGUUGAAGGAGCAUGGAUUCACUUAGAUACUCCAGUGCUGAGUCCCCUCGCUUGAAACAGAACGCGAGAUGUGUUACAGCAGAAGUGCAGCAGCCCCGAGAGUCUUCACCAGACCCACAGCCCGAGCCCAUCAGAACCAACCCCGUGUGUCCCGGGGGAGAGAGCCACCCCUUGGUUGUGAUGUUUAGAUGUUGAGUCUUGCUUCCUCCUGUCUGGUGUGGGGGGUGGAGACUGGAGAAGGCAGCGCCCGGUAGGUGGACCUGGUCUGACCCCUCCUUCCAUCCUCCAGAAACUGAUUAUGAGCCAGGUCCUUGUUGCACCCCAAGGCUACCCUGAGAGAUGGAGAGAUAAGCCUCACGUGGUGUCCCCUGGGAAGGCAGAGGGCUGUGGAAUAAACACGAACCAGGAGUCCAGGGCCCGGAGUCCAGCCUGGCCACGUGACACACUGGUGGUACAACUUUUGGGACCUUUUCCCUCCUCUUCUAUAGAAAUGAGCAGCUUCACUGGGCACGGUGGUGCACGCCUGUCAACCCCAGCGGCUCAGGAGGCUGAAGCAGGAGGAUUGCAAGUUCAAAGCCAGCCUCAGCAACUUAGCAAGGCUCUAAGCAACUCAGUGAAGACCUGUUUUAAAAUACAAAAAGAGUUGGGGAAGUGGCUCAGUGGUAGAGUGCCCCUGGGUUCGAUCCCUAGUACCAAAAAAGGAAGCAAGACAGGGAGGGAGGAAGGAAGGAGCUUCAGUUAGACACAAUGGCACCCACUUGUAACUCCAGCAACCCAGGAGGCUGAGGCAGGAGGAUCACAAGUUCAAGGCCAGCCUCUGCAAUUUAACAAGACAUUGUUCAAAAUCAAAAGAACUGGGGGAUGUAGCUUAGUGGUAGAGCACCCUGGAUUCCUUCCCUGAUACUGGGGUGGGGGUGGGAAGAAAGGAAGGGGCAGCAGCUUGGUCUGAACCCUCCCUAGGGCCCUCUCCAUCUUCACAUAGCCACCCACCCUUAGCGCUGAGCACACAUCCCUGACUGCUGCUCUUCCUCUCUGUCUGGACCACAGCCCCUGCGCCUCUCUGCAGCCCCGUCCAGUCCUGCUGUUAAUCUCCGUGUAUCUUAAUCUCCUCCGGGGGUUAGCUGGGGGUGGGGUUGGAUUGUUUGCCCUCCUCAGAUACCCUUUCCUUUAAUUACUUUAUAAUCUCUGAGAGGGAUCCAGGGCGGACCUUCUUGGCCUGGGGCCACGUAAUGUGUCUGGUGCUGCCUGGGGAGGGGUGCGUGUCUUCCCCUCAAGAAGCAAUUGGGGGCACGUGUGGGCUACCUUUUUAUGGGUCCUAAGGAGCCUCCCCCCAGGCCUUCUCUGGCAAUCAGCGGGGCAGAUGGAGCGGAAGGCUGAGCCAAGGUAAAUACUGCCUGCGCCAAACACCAGACAAACACCGGCAGGUACAAGAGGUACAGACACAUUAGGGCAGGGUGGGGAGGCUCCUGCCAGGGGAGCCAUCUCUCUGAGAAGACGGUUUGGACAAACUGGGCUGCGAGCCAGGUUAGAGAGGGACACAGUCCAGAGCCUGGAAGCCCCGCAGUCUCGCCUGUCCUGGAUGACAUCUUGGGAUCUCAGGGAGAAGUGACCCAGGGAUGGAAGGACCCGGGAGGGAGGGAGAUGGAGUCAGAGGUGGUGGUGCCUCUUUGAUUUCUUUGGUGCUGAGGAUAGAACCCAGGGGUGCUUCACCUCUGACCACAUCCCCAGCCCUUUUGAAAUUUUAUUUAGAGACAGGGUCUUGCUCAGUUGCUUAGGGCCUUGCAGAAUUGCUGAGGCUGGCUUUGAACUCACGAUCCUCCGGCCUCAGCCUCCUGAGCCACUGCACCCAGACAGUGGUGCUUUUAAGAUGACUCAGCAUUCAAAUGCUGUUCGUAUGGGGUCAGGGAGAAAUCUCAAGGCGUGACUCCGCACUCCCGAGAUCCCCGGCCUUACUAGGGGUGGCCGGCUGUAAGGAGGAGACCCGCUCCCCUUUAUGCAAACCCCUCAGAUCCCAGGGCUCCUUUUCCCAGGACUCUGUGAAGUCUCAGAAGGUGUAGGGCGAGCAGGGGAGGGGAGAGGGAACGAGUCGGUGGAGAGAGGUGGGUGGGCACCCCUGAAGAAGGGAACUGGGGAGGGGUAGAGAGAGGUGACCUGGGCCAGUCCCUUCACUUCUCUGAUCUGUGCCUCCCUGUACAGUGGGGAUGCGCCUCCCUCCCUCUCAGUGCUGCUGUGAGGAGACUCUUGGGUAAGGGCCUGGCCCGCGGGGUGAGUGCUCUAUGAUGAUGGUUCUGACUAUUAUCGCAGUAGAAGCCCCCGAGACCGAUUUCAGCCCUUAGAUGGAGAAUGCAAGGAGAGGUGACCGAGAACACGGGGGGACCUGUCCUAGCCUGUGUGGGACCGCAGUCUGCAUUGCUUUCCAUUUGGACCUGGGCUGCCCACAUUCUCCUAGCAACCUCUGGACAUCCACCUCCUUUCCGAUCAAGGCCCCAAGCGCUGAGAGGGGACCUUUAAUUCUUGCAUGACCCAGUCUGAAACUCUGUGCUUCUGAAACCUGAGAGACUGGAGGCCAUCCUGGGCUGACAGCUGGACCCCGUGUGCCUGCUAAGGAACGGCUGUGAGACGGGAUUAACAGGCGCGAGUUAAGCCUGUGUCCUCGGUGGCCGGCCAGGCAGGCGGCCUGUGCACUGCUUACAUAAAUGGGGCCAGGAAGCUGAACUUGUUUUUUCUGGCAAGAGCAAGGGUGUGCUGCAAGAGAAUUGAGAAAUCGGUUUCUCGUGGGCCUGUUUUUCUCAGGUUAUUGACAUUUGCCAGUUUACAUGGAGAGGGGAAAAGAAAAUUAGAGCAACAACAAAGCCAUUUGGGUUUCUAGCACCCAAACUUGGUCCUAAUGGGGGAAGAACCCCACUUCCCAAGAGCUGUGCUGCAAGGUCCCUGCUCCAGGGGUGUCCCGCGUGGGCAGGGAUUUGUGGGAUUGCUGGCUGGGAUCUAAUAGGAUCUACGCUCUCCUUCCCUUGAGGAAUGGGAGGCAGGGGAGGUGGUGGGAAUUUCUCUGCCCUGGAGCUCUCCAGAGAGAGAAAUGUGUUUGUCUCAGGGCCCUGGGAUGACCUGGCCCCAUCCCUCUCCCCGGGUCCUCACCAAUUACAAUAGUAUGUUCAUAGAUUGAGUCUGUGUUGCAAGGUGGCAUUGUCCCGGGUAAGCAGGCGUGCUUCCUGCCCUGGGAGCUAAUGAUGUGAGACCGUGGGAUGCUGAGACGGCAGGAGUAGGGGCUGGUGGGGACCUCCAACCUCAGUCUGAACCUGCAUUUUUCAGAAAAGGUGAAAAGUGGGCUCUGCCAGGGGCAGUGACGUGCCCACAGCUGCCUGCCAGUCCUGGGCAAGACCAGGAAUAGAAUUCGGUCUCCUGAUGGUGCAGGAGUGCAUCAGGCUGCCUCGUGCUCUGAGAUGUGCAGUAUAGGAGAAGAGCAGAGCCGGGGAGGCCUCCAGUUGGUCAGGGACUAAAUGCAAAGUGCACUUGAAGAUUGAAAAGGCACUUGGGGCCAGGUGUGCUGGUGCACUCCUGUCAUCCCUGCAGCUUGGGAGGCUGAGGCAGGAGGAUCCUGAGUUCAGAGCCAGCCUCAGCAACUUAGGGAGGCCCUAAGCAACUUAGCAAGACCCUGUCUCCAAAUAAGAUAUAAAGAAGGGCUGGGGGUGUGGCUCAGGGGGUGUGGCUCUCUCCUUUUCUGAUCUGACCCUCAGGAAGGGACUUUGUUUUCUCUGCUGGAACCUGGGAUAAUGCUCCCUUCCUGCUUCUGACUGGUCUUGGCAGGAAAAGAAGGACUCGAAAUCCUUGGUGGCCCCCUCCUCUCUCCUGGCUCCCGGGUGCUUUCUGAUGCCUAGGAGCUGGGGUGGGGGACAGCUGAUUCAUUCUUAAGGUGAUUGGGAGAGACUCAGAAGCAAGGAACAGCGCCAUCUCCCAUCGUGGAGGCUGGGACAGGAGGUGGGAGGGCGAUGGGGCCUCCUUCCGCCUCCAGAGCCAGGACUAAUCCCCUUGGAGGAUGCUCACACCCUCCCUGCUGUCUCGUGGGUCAAACCUCCUUCCUUACUGUGCUUUAGAUACUUCAGACCCCAAUCCUUCCCAAAUUCUUCACUUUUUUUUUUUUUGAUACCAGGGCACUUAACUACUGAGCCACAUCCCCAGCCCUUUUUGUAUUUUAUUUAGAGACAGGGUCUCACUGAGUUGCCUGGGGCCUCGCUAAAUUGCUGAGGCUGGCUUUGAACUUGCCAUCUCCUGCCUCAGCCUCCUGAGCCGCUGGGAUUACAGGUGUGCCGCCCUGUGGCUCCAGGACUCUUCAUUUUCUGAUACCUUUGCGUGUUCUGUUCACUCCUUGAAAUGCCAUUCCCAGCAGCCACACUCUCCAGGCUCCCAUCAUUUCCCAAGGUCAUGUCUCGUUUCCCCUUUUAGAAUGAUGUGUCCUCCUUCUUACCUCCCUCAAUACCUCAGGAUCAUUUAUUUCAGAAUAGCCUGAAUCAUAGGUGAUUUUAAGUCCUCCACAGGGGUCUGUGGAUGUUAAACAAAAUAAAAUAUGGAAAGGUGGCGCAGAGCCAGCACAGAGUACGCUUUCAGUGACAACAUGUGGAUUUUCUUCAUGAUCUGACUUAAACUAUACUUCCAAGAUCCUUCACAGUCGGAUAAGUGCUGAUGGAAGGAUUGAAACUGAGUUAAAAGCUCUAGAAGCCACUGUAAUGAAUAAUGAGAAUGAGCCCCUGCUCUUGAUGCAGGUGAGGAACAGAAAUUCUUGAUUUCUUAAGCUGGGGACAGGCACAGGCUUGCCAUCGGUCCUGAAAGCCUGGGCAUUUGCUCAAGGGCGGAUGCUGAGCUGUGCGCAGGAUCCCAGCUUGUGCCGCACCUGCCUGCCCUGCGCCAGGGCCACCGCCAGGUUGGGUGGGAGCACCCGGCUGCUGGGGCACGUCCUGCAGGGAAGCAGGCUCCUGGGAGCACGUGGCCACUACGGGUCUCUUCCUUUGACCGGCUGCUCUGGUGGGGCCUACCAGGGAGGGUCCUGGUGGGGACCAGGGAGCAGAGAUAAAGACAGACGGGAGGAGUCAGGAUGAGCCCAUCAGGGGGUCAGGCCUGCGGGGGAGGGACGUGCACAGGACAGUCACAUCCAGGAAGGGUGGGGGCUCUGCGAUCUGAAAGUGUCCCAGAAGCUGUUUGUCUUGAAAAUCUACCUUUUCCCCAGAGGCCCUGCACUCUGCGACCUCCUCUGGUGUGUAACAACCCAGGCCCAAGUCUUUGCUUUUAGAACACACACACACACACACACACAUACACACCUGUAGACCCCAUGUGUCGUGUGCAUAUCUGUGGACACGCUUUUUUUCCCAUUGUAAGAGUCAUAUACGCUGGGCAUGGUGCGGCGCCACACGUCUGCAGUCUAGCCACUCAGGAGGCUGAGGCAGGGGGAUCCCAUGUUCGAGGCGGCCUCAUCAACUUUGCAAGACUCUGUCUCAAAAUAAGAUGUCUUUAAAAUUAAAUAAAAAAAUAAAAGGGAUUGAACAUGUAAAGGGCCCCUGGGUUCAACCCCUAGUACCCCCCCCCAAAUAAAAAGAAAAGAAAAAAGAAAAAGAAAACAAAGAAAGAAAAAAGAAAAAGAAGAAAAUAUUAAUGUAAGCAUCUUGUAGAAAAAUUUAAAACUACAGAAAAGCCAGGUGUGGUGGCAUGUGCCUGUAAUGUCAUCUACUCAGGAGGCUGCGGCCGGGGAAUUGAAGACCCACCUGGGCAGCCUAGUGAGACCCACAACUCAGAAAAAUAGAUUAAUAAACAAAUAAAUAAUGAAACAGCAGAAAUCUAAAAGGAAGAGAAGGAAAUUACCCCUAGUAAAAGCAGAAAAAUUUAAAAAUUGAAAUCAGAAUUCCCCAAACAAAUAAACCAAAGCAAUCAUCCCUGUUCCCACAUUUGGAGAGGAGGGCACAGGUCCGAGGGCCACCUUCCAUGCCCAUCACUUCCCGCCCUCACAUCUGCUCCUGGGGCUGGCUGUUGCUUGACAGCAGGACCCAGUGUCCCCGGGGCGUUGGGUCAGGAGGCAGGGGGCGGGGCGCGGGGCGGGAAGGCUGCGCUGCCCUCUGACUUGAGCUGGAGGGCUUCCCUAUGGUCUCUCGUCUGAGAGUCUGUCUUAGAGUCAUCCUGUCUGCAGUGCUCUUAAGAGCAGAGUUAACGCAGCCUUGUUUACAGGUUCCAGAGGAAAAUGUUUUGAAGCAGAAUCGUGAUAGCAAUACUUGCCAAUGGGUGGUUUAUAAUUAAUCAUUCCCUAUUAAAAAAAAAAAAGUGACUCAGUUUUAAAGAUUCAGAAAACCAUUACUCAAGUUCCUUGGCAGAGGAAAUGGCCAUUAUGUCGCUCCCUGCAGCUCUGCUUUUGUGGAAGAGAAAAAAAAAAGUCUUUUUAUUUGGUGUUUCUCUGAGCUGCUCAAAUGCUUUGGCCCUUGUUAGCAAGCUGAGGACAGAACAGCUCCUGCCAUUGUUGAGAAGUCCCACUCAACAGGCAAGAGCUGCCAUCUGAGCUGGGCUUGGGAAGUGACCAGGGACGUCUUUCCUGGAACCGGCAAAGGCACACGCAGAAAGGGUCUCCUUUGGCCUCUAGGUUCGUUUUCCUGCCUCCACGUCUGCUGCUUGUGAGAAGCUCACUUCUCUGGUCUCCCGCGGGGGGCCGUCCACUGCACAGCCCAAGAGGCGCCACCCGGCCACUCGGGAACCGUGCCUCUGGGACUUGCUAGCGUGAAGACCCUGUCCCUGUGGGCACCUCUUAGGUACCCUGUGUGAAACAAACACUUAUUAAGCACCCACUGAGUUCUCUGAUGUGCAGCCAGGUGGAAUUUACAGGCUUGUGGUCACGGGGGUGGGGGGGGUGGGGACCUGUGUAUACAGUCCCACAUCACUUAAUGAUGGGGACACAUUCCGAGAAAUGUGUCUUCAGGUGAUCUUGUCGUGUGAACUUUCUAGAGUUACACAGACCUGCGGGGUGUAAGUCAAGCAUUUGAUGUGGCCUCUUGAUACCAUCGAGGGGUACAGUAAACAGACUGAGAGGCUGCGUGGGGGUCACACUGUUGCUCUGCAGUAGGUUCUGUUUAACAAGCAGGAGUACACUCUACAAUAACUAGAAAAAUGUAUCGUUUAGUAAAUACGUAGACCAGAGACACAGUUGUUUGUUUGCUUAUUUAUUUAUUUAUGUUUUGUGAUACUGGAGAUUAAGCCCAGGGUUUUUUUAGAUGUUGAUGGACCUUGAUUUUAUUCAUUUAUUUAUAUGCAGUGCUGAGGAUCGAACCCAGUGUCUCACACAUGCUAGGCAAGCGCAUGACCACUGAGCCACAACCCCAGCCCCCCAGGGGUGUUUUACUCUUGAGUUACAUUCUCAGCCCCUAGUUUUGUUGUUGUUGUUUGUUUGUUUUUUAAAUCAGGGUCUCACUGGGUUGCUGGCCUCCAGUGGCUAUCCACUGGCCUCCAAUUGCUAUCCUCCUGCCUCAGCCUCCUGAAGCUGGGAUUAGAGGCGGGCAUCACCACACCUAACAUUAAUUAUCAUUAUUAAGUAUCAUUUACUGUACAUAAUUGUAUGUCACACACACACACACACACACACACACACAGGCUAAACUGGCUACUUGAGGGUGAUGAAGCAGGAUGAGCCGCUGGUCCUGAGGCCCAGAGUCCAUGCUUCAUGAGCUUGAAUAUGGUGUUCAGUCACCGGGUACUGGUCAGUCAUCUCUGGCUUGAUCUCCCUCGGGCUGACUGUCUGUAAACAUGCUGCCCACCGGUUCUGGCAGGACGGUGGUGGCCGGGAGGUGCACCUUCCCCACCUGGGGCCUCUCGUGGGAGGCGGCGCGUAUGUGCACCAGCAGCGGGUGGCUCCUUGCUGACCCCUGCCUCGCCCGCCCGAGGCGCACAGGGCGCCAGCUGCCGGUGGGACGCAUCCUCCGGCCACAGGUGAAGGUGGGACAGGUUCCUUCUGUGGCCCCCUCCCGCUGCCUCGCAGCUUCCUGAACGGGCUGGACCCACCUUUACCCCCGGUGCCGGGGUGGAGGCCGGGCCUGGGGGUGCCAGGGAGGCUGCCAUCCUGAGCUCCCAGCCCCUGGGCAAGGUGGGAUAGGAUGGACCCCGUUAGGGCCUCACACCAACGUCACCCGGGCACCACCAGAAACACCUGUGCCCGCUGUGACGUCUCGGGGUACCGUCCAAGGGUCUGACCCGCACAUUGGCCCACGCCUGGAAUCCCAGCGGCUCGGGAGGCUGAGGCAGGAGGAUCAAGAGUUCAAAGCCAGCCUCAGCAACUCAGCGAGACCCUGUCUCUAAAUAAAAUAUAAAAAGGGUGAGGAUGUGGCUCAGUGGUUAAGCACCCCUGGGUUCAAUCCCUGGUACCAAAAAAAAAAAAAAGUCCUGUGGGCCCAUCACUGUAUUCCCCAGUGUGAGGUUGGCUGAAGAUCCUUCGGUGAUUCAGAGCAGCGCCCUGAGAAAAGUGUCCGUGAAAGGAUGAGCUAUCCAUGGUUCUUUCUUUUUUUUUGGUCCUGGGGAUGGAACCCAGGAGUGCUGAACCAUGGAGCCACAUCCCCAGCUUUUUAAAAAAUAUUGUGUUUAGAGGCAGGGUCUCGCUAAGUUCCUGAGGCUGGCUUUGAACUCGAGAUCCUCCUGCCUCAGCCUCCUGAGCUGCUGGGAUUACAGAUGUGCACCAGUCAGGCUGUGCGUGACUCCUUCCUUGGACUUUUAGGCAAACUGUAUACAAACGGUGCUCAUUGUGUGUUGGCGCUCCUAGGCUGUCUGUGACUGUGGAUAUCCACUUUCCAGCUGAUGGAGGGUUGUUGCUAGCCUUGCAGUGGGGCCACCCCCAGCAAACCAUCCUUUUUGAUAGCGUCUCCGUCCAUCAUGAACACAUCGAGUUUGAGGUGCUUCUUCAACUGCAUAAUCUGUGCAGGAACUUGAUGUCCAUGAUAGGUUUCAUCCUUACGGCUGCUUUAUCUGAUGGAAAACAGGGAAGUGAAAAGAUGGGUAGUGAUAGGGAGGGUCAGUGGGUCUUCUAAACCUCAUUCAGUCACAGAUAGAAAUCUGUACGUGACCGGACGUGGCAAGCUGUCACCUUCCUCAGGCUCCCAUUGGAUCCUCUAAGGGCAAGGUACCCAGUCAUGUCCUCUUCGCUGAUGCCUGGCUUCCGGGGGCUCCUGGAUGUUGGUUGCAUGUAGGACGGAGAGAGGGGGCCUCCCUUGCCCACUGUGGAGCAAGAGGAGUCCAGAGGGGGUCACAGGAACCCGCCCAAACUUGCUCGGCUACACCGUGACGUGCACUUAGCUCUCUCUUCCAGCAGCCAGGGCUCUUGUGGUAGGGAGAUAAAACCUUGGGUGAGUGGCCGCCACCUGUCCUGGCUGUCCAUCUGUCCUUUCCCUGCCAGCCGAGGAGAAGAGGGUGCCAGGGCGGAGGAAUUUGGCUCCAAGUGGUGAAUUGAGAGGAAAGUUGAAAGGCGUUUGUGCAGCUAGGCAGGGCCCGACGCCAGGCAGAAGCUGUCUCUGCCUCUGGAUGCCUGUGUCCCUAGUCCCUGGACUAUGGCCUGCGUCUUAUAGGGACAGCCAGACUCCUUGGCCUGGGGCUAGAAGCCCCCUGGGAGUCACGGGUCCUUAUGCCCUCUUUCCUGGGGGCCAUCUCUGGUGGGCUGGGAGGAAGGACAGGCUCCACGCAGGAGAUGACGAACUCUUCCCCAGCAAAAAGGUUUCACAGAUCAAAGAGACACUUGUGCUUGUCCCCAGACCCAGGAGCAUGGGCAGGGAGGUGACAUCAGGUGUUUGGCCUUUCUGACAUCCCUGGUCAGAUUUAUUGCCGCUGUUUGCUAACACGUAGUUCUACCCUUGGUUUAAGGAUCAGGUGGGCUUAAUAGGAGAACCGGCUGUGUCCCCGCCCCAUUUCCUCAGCUGGCCGGACUGAUUUAACUGAUUGGUUAAUAACUGAGUGCAAGGUGGCUGGGAUAAUUUUUAUCUUAGAUUCUGUGAAUCUAUAACCUGUCCUAAAGCUGGACUAGAAAAAAAGUAUUUGUUCCGCUAACCUUUAAUCCCCUUUCUCUUGAGUAGUCGCACACAGAAUAUUUUUCAAGGGGUGGGUGAUGUACUUUGUCUUUUUGACUUUCCAAUAACUUUUUCUUGGAUCCCUAGAAUAAAAACAGCAUCACCACAAAUGUUUAGUAGAGAGGUGUCGGGGACCAGAGGAAGUGUGGGACACACCGUCAGACCCCUGGUUCACAUCCUGGGUGUGCCUCUAUCUUAUGGGUGAUCUCGGGCGAGUCUCCUGAUUCUCCUGGGCCUCAGUUACCAUUUAUAAAGUAGACCCUGAAGACCCUGUGAUUUUGAGACUUCCUUCAGACCUGUGUGUGCCGGGAGCCCUGCUGGUGCCGUUCAUCCCUAGGUGUAUUCAUCCAUUCACUCAAGGGCUCUGUGUGUGCAGGCAGUGUUCCCAGAGCUGGACCAUAACAGAGCGCCCACCAGGCUCGGUGGCCCGCGCCUAUAAUCCCUGAGGCUGAGGAAGGUAGAUUGCAAGUUCGAGGCCAGCCUUAGUAACUUAGCAAGACUCUGUCUGAAAAUAAAAAGUAAAAAGGGCUGGGGGUGUAGCUACGUGGUAGAGCGUGCCUCCCGGGGUCAGGACCUUCACAAACAAACAACACAACACAACAGGGGCCUCAUCUUGUGGUGCUUGGAGUCUUGGGGGAGACAGACUGGGAAUGGGUAGUUGCACGGCAGUUGGGAUAGGUGACGCGGUGGAGAGGCCUAAUCUAGAGAGAGGGACAGGGAGGGCUUUGGGGUAAGGGGUACUUAAUGCUGAGAUCAGAAAUAGGGGACUUUGUCAUGGGGAUGGGGCAGGGGAGGAGCCAGUGUGAGAAGAGCACUGUCUUGGGGACAGUGUAGCCCUUGAAGGGUCUCCUUUUCUCUUUCUUUCUCCUCCUUCUCCAUCUUUUUUUUUUGGUAUGAGGGAGUGGACCCAAGGGAGCUUAACCACUGAGCCACAUCCCCAGCCCUUUUAAUAUUUUCUUUAGAGACAGGGUCUCGCUGAGUUGCUCAGGGCCUCGUUAGGUUGCUGAGGCUGGCUUUGAACUCGUGAUCCUCCUGCCUCAGCCUCCUGAGCCCCUGGGAUGACAGGAGUGGGCCACCGCCCCUGGCCCCUUGAAGGGCUGUGCUGUGUGGUGUUGUGUUGUGUUUGUUUGUUUGUGUGUUUGUUUUACCAGGGGAGUGGGAUGGCUAGAUUGUGGCUUGAGAAGGCUCACUCUGGCAGCGGGGGGGUGGCCAGUGUCCUUAUCCGGGCAGAGGUGUCCUGGACGGUGACAAAUUCCAGAGUUGGUCAGUACUGAAGCCUCUGUGGCUUCCCUAGGCCACGAAGCAGUCCCGUUUCAGGGUGCUGUGGCUCACUGAGUGUUCUCCCUCCCCCAGAGACGGCCGGUGACGUGCUGAGGAGCCUGCCAGGGGCCAGCGUCACCCUGACCUGCCCCGGGGAGGACCUGGGGGCCAACGCCACCGUCCAGUGGGUGCUCACUGGCUCACAGCACAGGAGCUGGGCCAGUGUAGGAAGGAGGCUGCUUCUGAGGUCGGUGCGCUUCCACGACUCUGGGAACUACUCGUGCUCCCUGGACGGCCACCCGGCUGGGACUGUGCAGUUGCUGGUGGACGGUGAGUGUCCUCGGGGCUCUUGAUAGCCCGGCUCUGCGCCUUCUAGGAAGACUCCUUGCUUGGUCCUUUAAACUCCUGUUAUUUCCUUGGCCCAAGAAUUUUGGGGAAGUGCCGCGGUCUGGCUGGGCACAAAAUCACGAGCCACUCAAGCAGGAACAAACUUUAUUUUUGAAACUGCGGCCAAUGCCCCGUAUGCUCCCGGGAAGAUUGCCCACGGACCCACGUGGCGUUCUCCCAGACCCCCACAGGAAGUCCCUCCUCCGGAAUUCCCUCCUACCGCACUUCCCCAACCAAUGGGAACUCUCCAGGAGUCCCGUAGCAGGCCGAGGUGGACAGCAGGGGUCCAAUAUCCAUAUGAACGCAGAUCUUAACGUAAUCAUAUCAUCUCAAUGGCUUGCUGGUGUCACCUUUCAACCAAAAAUGCCAUGCAUCAUACUACUUGGCUGUGGCUCUUAGCAGGGAAGGGCUCCCUGAUGUCUCUCGGUGCCACUGGAGGAAGUUCCCGCUGAGGGGGCAUCUGGCUGGUGGAGAGCACUGUCUGUCUGUCCUGCCAGUGGACUCUUGCCAGCGUGGGGCCCAGAGCCAGACAGCCUGGAUUCGAGUCUUCCUCCUUCACGUACAGCUUGACUUCGGCUCCUCAGAUUUCUCUGGCAAAAUCAAGUAAAUUUUCUGACCUUAGAGUGUUUCAAAGGUGAAAUGGAGUGUUGGGUUGUGGCCGACACCUGUAAGGUAACUCGGGAGGACAGCAAGUUGGAGGCCAGCCUGGGCAACUAUGGAAACCCCGUCUCCAAAUAGAUCACAAAAAGAGUAGGGGAUGUAUCUCGGGGCAGAGUGCCGGGUUCAAUCCCAGCACCAAAAGAAAAAAGAAAGAAAAAGAUGAAGCAAGAACACUCCCGCAGACGCUGACUGCUCUCACAAAGCAGCUCUCCUGACUUUCAGAAUUAGCUCCUUCCGCUGGGCGCGGUGGUGCUGCCUGUAACCCAAGCUGCUCGGGAGGCUGAGGCAGGAGGAUCACGAGGUCAAAGUCAGCCUCAGCAACUUAGUGAUACCUUAAAGCAACUUAGCCAGACCCUGUCUCUAAAUAAAUUAAAAGGCUGGGGGUGUGGCUCCGUGGGUAAGCGCCUUUGGGUUCAAUCCCCAGCACCAAGAAAGCAAAACCCAAAGCCUCCUUUUCACAUCCAGAUGAAGACUUCACCCAGCCAGUGCCCUGUGCUAGGGCCCUGUGCUAGGGCCUUCCUUGUUUCUCAAGUAGUCCUCCCACCAACCCUGGGAAGGAGGGCGGCAUUUAUCACCAUUAUUAUUAUCAUCAGGUCAUCUUACAGGUAAGGAAACUGAAGAGAGGCUGGGACUUACCCACAACCAGGUCUUCGUGAUUCCAAAAUCCCUAUUUUUUUUUUUUUAAUUUGGACAGAAGGUUCAAAGGUGGCGUCUCCCUUCCCUUGCCUAGGAUCCUUUAUCCAGUUUGACAAACAGGACUUUCAUAUUUUAAUUUUAUAGCCUCAGCUAGGCAGGGUGGUGCACACCUGGAAUCCCAGUGGUUUGGGAGGCUGAGGCAGGAGGAUUGCAGCGUUGAGGCCUGCCUCAGAAACUCAGAGAGACUCUGUCUCAAAAUAAAAAGAGCUGGAGAUGUAGCUCACUGAUAAAGCACCCCUCAAUUCAAUCCCUAGUACUGCCCCAGCCCCCCCCCCCAAAAAAAAAUACUUGUCAUCCAUUGGAAUAUCUGUGUGAGUCUGAGUUUUAGCUGCAGAGUGGCCAAUCCCCUCAGCAGGGAGGCUGUGCACACCUGUGAGGUCAGGCGUCUCAGGGGAAGCCCUGCGGCUCCUCAACCUGCUGUUCUCUCCUUCCAGUUCCUCCCGAGGAGCCCCGGCUUUCCUGCUCACGAAGGAGCCUCCUCAGCAGCGUGGUCUGCGAGUGGAGUCCUCGGAACCCCCCGUCCCCCACCACCAGGGCUGUGCUGCUGGUGAAGAAGCUGUAAGUAGCCUGGGCUGGGCUGGGUGUGUGCUCCUUCUCACCCGGGUCCCCAAGCCGAGGUGAGCUCGCACAGGAAGGCAGAACUGGCCGAUUCUAAUAAAUAAAUUAAAAACAAACAAACAAACAAACAAACAAAACUUUUACUUUGAGACAGGCUCUUGCUAAAUUGCUGAGGCUGGCCUUGAACUUGUGAUCCUCUUUCCUCAGCCUCCUGAGUCUCUGGGAUUACAAACCUGCACCACUGUGCCCAGCUGAGGGAUUGCAAAAUUUUAUCAGUAAAACGUAAUUCCCGGAGCCAGGGGCGGUGGCACAUGUCUGUAAUCCCAGUGGCUCGGGAGGCUGAGGCAGGAGGAUCAAGAGUUCACAGCCAGCCUCAGCAAUGACAAGGCACUAAGCACCUCAGUGAGACCCUGUCUCUAAAUAAAAUACAAAAUAGGGCUGGGGAUGUGGCUCAGUGGUCGGGUGCCCCUGAGUUCAAACCCCAAGUAUCUCCCCUACCAAAAAAGUAAUUCCUGGGACUAGGGGCGGGGCCUGUGGCAGGAGUGCGCAUGUGUGAGGCUCUGGGUUCAAUCCCCAGCACCAAAAUAAAAACCCCAAACCAACCAACCAAACAACAACAAAACAGAAGAAGAAACUGAGGUUCAGAGAGGUCUUUUAGCUAGAAAGUGGCUCUGCUGGGAACCCAAUUCCCGGUGCCUGAUUUCAGCUCCAGGUGCCUGAUUUCCAUUCCGGGCGCCUGAUUUGGGGUGUUGCUCUGAAGAAGAUGCGAAUGGGAGAGGGAAAGCCAGCCAGUUCUUACCCGUGUCUGGCCCUUUCUAUAUGAGUGUGUCAGGCUCUUUCUAUAUGGAGACAGGUGACAGGAAGUGGUCAUGGAUGGAGAAUCAGAACUGGGACUAGUGGGGCAGAAGUCAUGCCUGCCACUUCAAGGUGGCAUAAAGCGUGGGCGUGGGACCCGUGGGAUGGGCCCAGCCAGAGAAGCGGAGGACUGGAAGGCGCCGAGCACAGAUCCCCACUCCAGUGUUGCCUGGUCUGUCCUCAGACCCAGGGCUCCUCCGUCUAGACGUUUGGCGUCAGGUCUGAGCUGCCGGCCGUGGGAGCACAGCAGUCCCACUUCUCCUUCCCAAGGUUUCAACUACCCUUGGUCAGCUGUGGCCUGAAAAUACCAGGUAGAAAAUUCUAGAAAUCAGCCGUGCAUAGGUUUUAAAUCAAGCCACUCGGAGUAGCCUGAUGGAAGCAUGUGCCAUCCUGCCCGGGCGUGGAUCCUGCGUUUCAGCCCAGCAGUCGGCCUGCAUCACAACCUCGCCCUGAUCCCUGGGCCGCCUCCCUGAUGGGUGUCUGUGUUCGGCUAACCCUUGUCUUACUCAGCAGGAGCCCUAGGACAGGAAGGGACAGAGGACUCUGUGGCAGUGCUGGGGGCAUGCGGGCGGAGCUUGGCAGGUACAGGGUUUGGCACCGUCUGGGGCUUUGGGCACUUGCUUGGGUUCUUGGAACACACUCCCUGCCGACAGAGGACUCCUCUGCCAAAAAAUCAGAACAGUGACCUCCACACGGUGGCUUGGCUGCUACUUGUCUCCAGAGAGUUGCUGGAAGGCCUGACGGUGUAUCUGUGUUCCCGACUCCACGUGUAGAUCACCCCCUGCAAGAGAUACAGCUGUUCUGGGACAUUAGUUUCUCCACAGACAGCACAUUCUGCCCACUGCCUGGCGGCUCCAGACCAGUGUCAGAGAACUGGGUUUUGGUAGCAGAGAUUGAACCCAGGGGCGCUUAACCACUGAGCCUCACCCCCAGCCCUUUUUAUGUUUUAUUUUGAGACAGGGCCUCACUAAGUUCCUCCGGGCCUCACUUUUGCUGAGUGAGGCUUUGAACUCCCCAUCCUCCUGCCUCAGCCUCCUGAGUCUGGGCUUACAGGCGCGUGCCCCGGCACUGACUGAUUCACACGGGACACUUCAUCUCGAAUACUCUGUUGACAAUAAGGUGGGAGAGGACCAGGUGUCUAGCUCCACGUCCUCCUCCUCCAGUGGUCUCGGGCGUCUUGGACGUCUGCUGAGAAGCUCUGGGAGAGGGCAGUGGGGAUGGAGGCUGCCAGAGCCCCAGGGACCGGGGCCCACGGAGGCCCCACGGGGGCCGGAGACUCUGGGGCCCAGGACAGCGUUCUGGUGUGUUUGGCUUUCUGUUUUGGGUGUGACACUUUCACAUCCUCCCCGGCACCCGCCCAGCCUGUCACCCAGCAGCGCCUGAGAGUGGGGCUCCUGCCUGGGCUGGGGGAGGCAGGAUGGGCGUCCGCGGGGCACCAGACGGGCCCUGCCUCCUGGGGUGGGCGGGACCGAAGCCUGAGAGGUGCAGGGGACACAGAGCAAGGGUGGCCGUCACUCCCGGGGGCCAGGCUCCCAGAAGCAGUUUGUCCCCCCUGCUAGACUCUUCCCGAGCCCAGGAGCCCACGUUAGAGGCCGGUGAUUUGUCCCCCGCAGCAGGGCAAGCGGCCGCCACGGCCUAACAUGCCCGCCCGGGGGCACAGGGUUCCUACAAAAUGCUUCUGCGACACCCAGCAUCUCCCCGGGUGCUUCGUCCUCGUCCUCGAGGGCAGAUCAUUUUUGUCAUUGCCCUGACACCAGGUCAGAGGCUCGGCCUCUCUGCCUCUGCGAGUCUGUGUCCCCCGUGGGGCCAGGAGCACGGAUCCUGCCCCAGCGCCAGCGCUCGGGGCCCCUGAUGCCUCAGUGACAGCUGAGUCCCUCCUCCAGCACCUCCCGCCGUGCCAGGGGCCGAGCCAGGUGUCCUAGCCACGUUGGUCCAUUGUCCCUGUGAGGUGGGGCUGUGAAUAGUCCCAUUUUCAAAUGACAGCGCAGAACCUCGAGCCUGGUUGCAGGACUCACUCGGAGUCACGAACGCUGACGAGAGCAGAUGACCCGGAGCUGGGAUCCAAGCCCUGGGAUCCGACUCAGAGCCUGAGUGUCCGACCCGGCCCGGUCCUUCUUCCCCUCUAGAGGAAGCACAGAAACGGUAGCAGCCCCCCCCCUUUGUUUUGUGACCAACAGCAAGAAAGUCCCAGCGGAAGACUUCCGGGUGCCGUGCCAGUAUUCUCAGGACUCGCAGAAGUUCUCCUGCCAGCUGGAGAUUCCAGAGGGGGACAAGUCCUUCCACAUAGUGUCCUUGUGCGCGGCCAGCAGUGCCGGGAGCAGGUCCAGCGACCCGGAGGCAUUUGAGGGAUAUGGAAUCCGUAAGUGAGCUCUCCUCUCCCCAGCCCCACAAGUAUUUUUUUUUUCUCUUUUGACAUAAUAUUUCUUUUUCUUUUUGGUGCUUUUUGAACCUAGGGAUGCUUAAUCACUGAGCCACAACCCCAGACCUUUUUUACAAUUUUGAGACAGGGUCCGGCCAAGUUGCUUCAGGCCUCACUAAAUGGCUAAGGCUGGCCUCCAAAUUUUGAUCCUCCUGCUUCAGCCUCCCACGUCACUGGGAUUACAGGCUUGCACCGCUCUGCCUGGCCCUUGACUUAAUAUUUCUCAUCCACUCCUUGGAGGGGCAGGGAAGGAGCGGUUGAGGGGUUUGGCUAGCUGGAGCCCUUUUGGGCACUGACGGAUGAGGGUGCUUUCAAGACGCGUGUGUGGGGCUGAGCGUGUGGCUUAGUGGCAGAGCGCUUGCCUAGUGUGUGCGAGGCUCUGGGUUUGAUCCCUAGUAUGGGGGAGGAGGGCAAAUAAAUAAAAAGAUGGGCAUGGGGUGGCCUGGUCUGGGGCAGGGCUCCUGCCGCCCCACAGAAGCCACGUUCCCUCUCACAGUGCGGCCUGACCCGCCCGCCAACAUCAUGGUCACUGCUGUGGCCGAAAACCCCCGCUGGCUCAAUGUCACCUGGGAAGACCCCCUCUCCUGGAACUCCGACUUCUACAGACUGCAGUUCGAACUCCGGUACCGGGCCGAGCACUCAAAGGCCUUCACCACGUGGAUGGUGAGUUCACCCACUGUUCACCCACUGUUUCUAAACAGGAAAGCGCUGCAGACACUUGAGGGUCCUGAAAAGGACGUGAAGGAGAAGGAGUGACCUUCCAGGGCCUGCUUGGCAGCUCCCCGCGCGGCCUGGACGGGUCUCGGCCAUCUCAUUUAGGAAGUGGGAGUCGUGACGCUGGGUGUCCCUUCGCAGCUGGUUGGCAAGAAGGGUACACAGGGUGGCCGGGACUCGGGCUCCGGGCAAUCAGGGAGGGCCGUCAGGAUCCGCAGUCGCUGUGCCUCCCGCCCUUAGGUCAGGAAUUCCCAGUAUCACUGCAUCAUCCACGACGCCUGGCGCGGCUCGAGGCACACGGUGCAGCUUCGGGCCCAGGAGGAGUUUGGACUCGGCUCCUGGAGUGAGUGGAGCCCCGAGGUCACAGGGGUUCCGUGGACAGGUACCUCGCGGGCGUGGAGGGAAGGCGGCGGGGGGGGUUGCUUCUGUUAGUGGAUCAGCAAUGUGGUGCUCUAAGGCAGGUCACCCCAAAGCUGGUGCCCGAGAAACAGCAACCAUUUAUCUGCUGGUCUUGCCAUGAGGUCUGCAAGGGCCAGGGUGGACCCGCCCGUGGCUGGGGGCGGGGCUGGCCGGGCCCUGGUCUUCCCCACCCCUUCCCCCAGGCCACCCAGGCUGGGGACAGGGACUCCCGGAGCGGCGAGAGAGAGGAGCUCAAAGGGUCGUACACAUGUUGACUCCACCGCAGUUACUAAUGCUUUUUAUUUUUAAAAAGGUGAUAAAAGUAAUCAUCAUUGCUUUGGGGUGGAUUAUUGAAAUUGACACGUUAGUGAUAAGAAAUUCUAGAAAAAUACGAAGAGAAUAACUAUUAACAGUAUCUUCCCUUAGCAAAAACCAGUGGGCAUAUUUUAGUUUUUAAAAAUUACAUUUAUGUGAGUGAAUUUACAUAUUAUAUGUAUUAUUAUAUAUAUAAAAUAUUGUGCCAGAUGGUGUGUAAAACCUGUGAUCCCGGUGACUCGGGAGGCUGAGGCAGGAGGAUUGCAAGUUUGAGUGAGCCAUUUAGCAAGGCUCUAAGCAACUCAGCAAGGCCUUGUCUCAAAGUAAAAAAAUAAAAAGGGCUGGGGCCGGGUUCGGUGGCGCCCACCCUAAUCUCAGAGGCUUGGGAGGCUGAGGCAGGAGGAUCAGUGGUCCUGGGGAUGUGGCUCGGUGCUCCUGAGUUUAAUCCCCAGGACCAACCAACCAACCAACCAACCAAGAAAAAACCCAAAAAACAAAGAAAAGGGCUGGGGAUGUAGCUCCCUGGUAGAGUGCUCCUGGGGUCAUCCCCAGUAAUACCCUCCCACCAUUCUACUUUCUGUCUCUGAAUUUGAAGUCUUAUAAACAGAUUUCCUGCCUAGCUUCAAAUGUUUUAUUUUUCCAGUUUUUUUUUCUUUUCCCUCUUUGUUACUGGGGAUUGAACUCAGGGGCGCUUAACCACUGAGCCACAUCCCUAGCCCCUUUUAUAUUUCAUUUAGAGACAGGGUCUCCCUGAGUUGCUUAGGGCCUCGCUAAGUUGCUGAGGCUGGCCUUGAAUUUGCAAUCCUCCUGCCUCAGCCUCCUGAGCUGCUGGGAUUAUAGACGUGGGCCACUGUACCCAGUAUGUUAUCAAAAUUUUUUGAAAAUGUACUAUUUGCUAACUGCAUGAUCAAUUUUUUUUUAAUCCCCACGGGAGGUGUUUUGUUUGUGUUGGGACUGGGGGUUGAACACCGGGGGGUGCUUAACCACUUCCUGAGUUGCUAGGAUUAAAGGCAUGUACUACUGUGCCCAGUUUGGAGGUUUUUAUAAAAAGAAAAAAUCAAAAAUUUGUAUCAAAUUAAUACAGAAGGCUUGAGAAGUUGAGGCAGGAGGUCUGCAAGUUUGAGGCCAGCCUCAGCAACUUAGUGAGGCCCUGUCUCAAAAUAAAAAAUUAAAAAAAAAAAAAGACUGGAGAUGUCACUUAGUGGACAGUGCCUGGUUUCAGUCCCCAGGACCAAAACAACAACAGCAGCAAGACCCCCAGAAUACCCAGCAGAGGCCCGUGCCCACCGUUGCUGGUCCUGCUUUCUGGAGGAAACCGCUCGACUCUGUUUCUAGGUCUUCUGCUGGUGCCCCGGUAACUCUUUCUUUUUUACUUCUUUCCUUUCCCCCUCCUUAACUCUAAAGGACAAGCUCAGAUGAGUGACUUUUCCCCCUGAUAAAACCACUGGAGACUUUAUCUAGCAAACCUAGAAUGCAGGUGUCUCCCUGACCACACCCUGGUCAGCUGGCCUCUCUUUGAAGCUUCCAGAGAUAAAGAGCUCGCCCCCUCCCCCCCCCCCAGCAUUCUUCUUGUGGAACACCUUCCAGGCUCGAUUUGUUUCUAACCCUGCAGCACAGUUGAAUCAAAUUAGUCAUUCAUUCUUUUUCUCUUUGUUGGUACUGGAGACCCAGGGGUGCUUAACCACUGAGCCACAUCCCCAGCCUUUUUUUAAAAUUUUUGAGACAGGGUCUUGCUAAAUGGCUGGGGCUGGACUUGAACUUGGGAUCCUCCUGCCUCAGCCUCCUAACUUGCUGGGAUUACAGGCCUGCACCACGCCCACUCAAUUAGUCAUUCUAAGUUACUUAGCAAUUAAAAGAAUAAGGCCAGACAGGCACCACAGGCACGCUGCUGAUCCCAGCAACUCUGGAGCCUGAGGCAGGAGGAUCAUAAAUCCAAGGCCAUUCUGGGAAAGUUAGGAAGGCCUUCAGCAAUCUAUUGAGACCCUGUCUUAAAAUAAAAAGGGCUGGGGAUGUAUGUAGCUCAGUGGUAGAGCACCCAAGGAGUCAAUUCCCACUACUGUCUUUAAAAAAGAAAGAAAAGAAAAAAGUCCUGAUUUAAUAGCUAUUGAUUGAUGGUGGUAAAGUGUGCCCGACAUGAAGUCUGCUACUGUGACGGUUUCAAGUGUGCAUCUUUGUGGCUUUAAGUUCAGGCGCAGUGUGGUGCCAGCAUCACCGCCGUGCACCUCCAGAACGUUCUUAUCUUGCAAAACCGGAACUCUGUCCCUCCACAGGAUAAUUCCCCGUUCUCCCAUCCCUGCCCCAGCCCCUGGCAGCCCCUGACACUCUGCUCUCUGUCCCUGACUGUGACGACUCCAGAUCAUUCCUUUUGUUUUGAGACAGGGUGCUUCAAACAGGUGGAGCCACACGGGGACGUGUCCUUUGGUGCCCGGCUCAUUUCGCUGCCUGUGACUUGUCUUCAGGGCCCACCCACGUGGCAGCCUGGGUCAGACUCUCCUCUGGAAGGCGGUGGUGGGCUGUUGUGCAGAAUCACGUCUCUGGUGUCCUCGUUCCCCUGUCCUGGGACACUUGGGCUCUUCUGUCUUGGCUUUGUGAAUGACGCUGCCGUGGACAAGGCCGUACAGAGCUGUUGGAGUUCCUGCUUUCGGUUCUUUUGAGUCGACACCCAGAAGUGGAAUUUCUGUGUCACGUGGCAAUUCUAUUUUUAAUUUUUUGAGGAACUUCUGUCUGGGCUGCUCCCUUUCAUAUUCACUGUGGAGUGCACUGACCCACCCCUCCCCUGACACUAGUUAACUUCUUUGCCUUUGGACCCUCCCCUCCCCUCUCCCUUCCUUUCUUUAUCUCUCUUUUUGAGACAGAGUCUCAGAUUCCUGGGCUUAAGCGAUCUUCCUGCCUCAGCCUCUCCAGUAGCUGUGAUUACAGGAGCCCACUUAGUUUUCAUCUUUGGUACCAAGAAUUGAACCCAGGGGCACUUCACCACUGAGCCACGUCCCCAGCCCUAUUUUGUGUUUUAUUUAGAGACAGGGUCUCACUGAGUUGCUUGCUAAAUUGCUGAGGCUGGCCUUGAACUCGCAAUCCUCCUUCCUCAGCCUCCCAAGUCUCUGAGAUCAUAAGUGUGCGCCGUCACUCCCAAUUUAGAAGGUCUUCAUAUGUGGGCCAGCGCUGGCCUUGCUCUGUCCCCUGGGCUCCUCUGAGCCCAGCCUGCUCUCUGAAUUCUUCUGGAGUUCUCAGAAGACUAAGAUCUGCUUGCACUCCUCUUGCCAGGCGGCUGCAUGGGGUGGUUUGGAGUUUCUCACUUGGCUCGCCACCUGCCCCUGAAUCUGGUCUCAUUUGUGGCCGUAUCUCUUUAAAUUGUUGGCAUCCUCUCUUCUGUGGAAGACGCUCUAGCAGGGGCCAUCUGGGCAGCUCUGGGGACUGUCUUGGACUUUCCAGCCUUAGCUCAUGUGCUGGAGUGACCCCACGAGCUCAGAGAAUCUGGUUCCUCCUCCUGAGCAGCUGGAGAGUUGAGCUCCUGUCCUGCGGGUGGAUGGCAUCCUCACCCCCCCACCCCCCCCACCCCCCUCGAUGAAUUUAUGCAGGAGAGAGACCUGCAGCGCCCUCUCCACGGACGGAGGAUGAGACCAAGGGGACGUAGGGUAGGAAUGGGGGCAGGUUGGGGAAAGUGAGAAGGAGGUUGGGAGACCAGGUGAGGCGUGUUCUCCUGCCGUGGCGCGGUGUGACUGUUAGGGACAUGUCAGUGCUCCAGGGACUCUAUCACCCGGCUUCCUGAUACCAAGGACCUUCAACACUGAAAGCCCAGACAAAAAGGAUGCUGGCCCGGAGGAUCUGCAUGGAGGAGGAGAGGCCGGCCUUGGCCUCGCCCUGGGGGAAGCUGUGUAGGAGCCGGAGGUGGAGGAGGGGCGCAGGGCCUGGACUUCACAGGUGCUGGGGGCACCAAGGUGCAGCGUCUGCACCAAGGUGUGUUUGUGGGGACGAGUGGGCCUCGUGUGUGUGUGUGUGUGUGUGCACGCGCGCAUGCUCCUGUGCACGUGUACAUGCCCCCCUCCCCCCAUGGGACAGGUACCGUCACCCUGUCUUAGGGCCCCUGCUUUGGCCAUCAAGGUCAGGACACUGCUGUCAGCCCCUGCAGUAGUGGCUCUUGGAGACGCUCUUGGGGCCCUUGACCCCGGGGAGCAGAGGCCACCUGUGACCCGGCAGCUCCCUCCCAAGUGGGAGUCCGCCCACCUGCACCCUCUCCUCUCCCUGACGUCAGGGACGUCCAGUCUGGGUCCCCAGGACCCUGUUCAACUAGGGAAACUCUGUCAGGCAGAGGAGGGUGGGUCUUCUUUUUUCUGUUUGAAAAUCCCUUUAACUCUGUCCCUCCCAGUCCCCAAGAACGGGGGCCACACCCCAUAGAGAAGGUGGGGUUUUGCCUUUGUCACCCAUGUGGGUGGCCUGAGGCCAGGCCAGGGAGCUGCAGGCCGUUAGGUCCCCUGGCUUGGACCUGCAGCUGUGGGACCUUCUCCCCACCUGGGCCAUCCCAUUCAGGGGACCUCAUUUGUUCCUCUCCUCAGCACCAGGUGGGACAGGCUGCCAAUCAAGAGAGCUUGGUCACACAUUUCUGCAGAGAUCUUGUCCUGUUCACUGAUGCGGCUCCCCACACUCCUCCAUCUGGGCUCUUUCCUUCCAGGUCCCCUCCCUCCCUCCCUCCUUCCCUCCCUCUUCCUCUCUCUCUCUCCCUCUCUCCGUGUGUGUGUGUGUGUGUGUGUGUGUCUCUCUCUCUCUCUCUCUCUCUCUCUCUCUCUCUCUCUCUCUCUCUCGUACUGGGGGUCAAACCCAGGGAGCUGUACGGCAGCCCAGCCCUUUCUGGAAAACUCUAUUUUGAGACGGGGUCUUAUUAAAUCGUCACACUAGCCUCAAACUCGACUCUUCCUCCUCAGCCUCCCCAGUGGCUGUGGCCACAGGCCGGUGUCACUGUGCCUGGUGCUUGGUCCUGUCUCCCGCGUGUCCUUGGACCUGCCCGUCCUGCUGGGCGUGCUGACCCACCACCCUGCCUACCUGGGGCAGAGCACUGGUCUGCAGGGAGACAGACUUGGGUCCAGCUGCUGACCCUGCUCCUAGGACCAGCCUGACCUGGGGGGAGUCCCUAACCAAGCCCCGGGUCGCUCAUCUGUCAAGUGGGGGUGGUGAGGCUUGCCUCAAGACACCCCCCACCCAGUGCCUCCCUUGUGGGGUUGGGAGGCCUCCAUGAUGGGGAAGCAGUGGGCACAGAGCAGGACUCGUGGUCAGCUGGCCCAGACACCUGUGCGGGCCUCUCUCUGCAACAGGUGCUCGGCUCCACCCAAGCCAGAGGCGUCACGGUGGCUCCCAAACCUCUGGGCCUUCCUGUCUGGGGACGGACGCCGCGACCCACCCAGCUCCAGAGCUGGGAGCCAGACCACCUACCUGGGUCAGCUGCUGUCCCACCUCAGCAGAACCUGACCGUUGACCCUCCAAACCCGUCUCCUGCUUUUGUGUUCAAGCACUGUGCGUCCUCCAUGCCGUUUCUAAGUCACAAGACUGUCACCUCCCAGACACCACCCGUGGCUCCUGUGGCUCUCCCCUGAGCCUGGUGUAGAGGCCUCUGGGACAGCCUUGCUGACCACCCAGUUAAUCUCACUGGAAUAAGGCCAUUCGUCCACUCGUUCAUUUCAUUCAUGAAUUCAUUUUGUUUUGAAUAUAAAAUAUAGAAAACUUGGAACUAUGAAUACGGGGCAGACAGAAGCCACCACCUGUCUUUCUGGUCCUGGGGGUUGACCCCAAGGGUGCUCCCGCUGAGCUGCACCCCAGCCCUUCUCGUUUUGAGACGGGGUCUUGCUGGAUGCAGCCGCUGCCCUGACCAGAAAUGACCUUGAUUUAUGAUGCGAUGUCACAGUCACGCUGGGAAGUCUCUCUGGAGCAGAAACAGGGUCACCUUCUCCUCCCGUCCUGGCUGGCCCCCUCUUGUCUACCCCUGGGUCAGGGGGCUGUCUUCCUGGUGUGCACCAUUUCUCUGGUGCUCUGAUCACUCCAUGGAAAAAUGACGGCUGACAAGAAAAUACUUUGAAAUCCAAAGCAUCCCACCCCGGGCUGGCUGAGGUCCAGCGCCUGGUCCCUGGGGCCCGCUGCCGCCGGGCCUGGCCUCCUGUCCGGGUCUGACUUUGAUUACUGAUUUCUCCAGAAACACAGUUCCCAGGGGCGGGUGGCCUUGGGAGGGGGACCUGUCCACCUCCUGCCUCCCGCCAGCCGGGCUCGGCCACGCAGGCCAACAAGACCCACUGAUCAUGUGAUUCUCUUUUAUUGAAAAAAGGUGUGUGGAAGGAAGUUCAAAUGCUAAUAGUGCUUAUGUCUGCUGAUGUGGACCAUUCUUUCUGUGUAUGAAUAUAGGUCAUAUUUAGUGUGAUGUACAGUAGAUGAUAAUAUAAAUGUGUUUCUUUAGAGACUUUCAGAGCUGGGCGAGGUGGUGCACGCCUGUAAUCCCAGCACCUGGGGAGGCUGAGGCAGGAGGAUCUCAAGUUUGAGGCCAGCCUCAGCAACUUAGCAAGAUCUUAUCUCAAAAAAGAGCAGGAUGGGGUGGGGUUGUUCAGUAGUAGAGCACUCCGGUAGCAUGCGGGAGGCACUGGGUUUAAUCCUCCGCACCACAUAAAAAUAAAAUAAAGGCAUGGUGUCCACCUACAACUAAAAAAAAAAAUAUAUAUAUAUUUUUUUAAAGGGCUGGAGGUGUAGCUCAUUGGUAAAGCACCCUGGGCUCAUUUCCUAGUAUCUCUAAGAACAAUAACAACAAAACAAGUUUUGAUCCAACUAUAGGACUUUUUUCUUGUCUUGCAUUUUUUCACACAUUAUGUCAUAUCAUCAACAUUUUUUAUAAAAUAUAUAUUUUGAAGUUUUAUUUAUCAUGUUUCAAUUUUUAGUGCAUUGAACCCAGGGGUGCUUAACCGCUAAGUCACGUCCGCGGCACUUCUUUUUAAUAUUCUAUUUGGAGGUGGGGUCUCCCUGAGUUGCUUAGAGCCUUGCUAAGUUGCUGAGGCUGGCUUUGAACGUGCCAUCCCCCUGCCUCAGCCUCCUUAUCUUUAUUUUUAUGUUCUUGGGGUGCUGGGGAAUCAAACACACAGGGCCUUGCACACACUAGGAAAGUGCUGACCACAUCCUCUUCCCUUAUUUUAUUUUUUGCUGUACUGGGGAGUGAACCCAGGGCUGCUCUACCACUGAACCACAUCCCCACCCCUUUUUAUUUUUUAUUUUGAGACAAGCUCUCACUAAGUUGCGGAGGCUGGCCUCCGACAUCUGAUCCUUCCCAAGUUACUGAGAGUGUAGGAGUUUGGCUUUGUACCCAGCUCCUUAUUUUAUUCAUCAUUGAAAUCGACAGAAGAGUGGGAUCUAUGGAUGGGGAACAGUGUAACAUUUUGACACAUGUAGGCAUUAUGUACAGGUUAUGACAUUGUGUGUCUCUAUCAUAAUCGUACAGCUUGUCCCUUAGGGCUGGAUAUUUGGUGACUUCCCGUGUCAGGCUCCUUUAUUCGUUUCUUUUGCUCUUGGUGGUUGGGAUUGAACCCGGGCCUCUCUGCCUCUGAACUGCGUCCCAGGUCCUGUUAUGCUCUUUUACUUAUUUAUUUAUUGCACCAGGGAUUGAACCCAGGGGCACUCAACCACCGAGCCCCAUCCCCAGCCCUUUUUAUACUUUUUAUUUAGAGACAGGGUCUCACUGAGUUGCUGAGGGCCUCGCUAAGUUGCUGAGGCUGGCUUUGAACUUGAGAUCCUCCGGCCUCAGCCUCCCGAGCUGCUGGGAUGACAGGCGUGGGCCACCACACCCGGCCCCUGUUACGUGUUUUUAAAUAACAUUGUGAUGAUCUUUAUUCUACUUCUGGAGCCAUCGGUCAGCACUCCAGGGCCCACAGUCACUAACGACAGCCCUUCCCUCUGCCCUCUGUCUGCAGAGUCCAGGAGUGUACCAGCUGUGACCUCUGCGUCCCCCUCCGUGGAGGUGAGCUCGGGUUCCUGUGAGAGUCAGGGCAGCAGCACCUGGCGGUUUGCAGAGGGAAUUUGAAGCCCAGCUCUGCCUCUUCCUAGAAGUGCUGCUGUGCCGGUUUCUGCCCUCUCCAAGUCUCUGUGCAGGGACAGCGAUUCCAUGUCCCGGGGCUGGAAGGGCCAGGGCCGCCUCGCCCGGCACAGGAAAUGCCUGAGUCCAGUGGCCACUCGUUUCUCUCUGAGCUUCUUGGGCACCACCAGCUGCUUAGCCUGAGACACAGUUCAGAUCAUCCCGUCCCUCCCUCGGGCUCCUGGUGUCAUAACUGGCUGGAAGAGGCUUUCCCCCAAAGCUGCUUAACCAGGUCUUAGAGUAAUCCAAUUUCCCUCAGCCUCACCGCUGUUCCUCCCGGGGCCUCCAAUCCCCUAAACGCUAAGCCGGGGGCCUCAGCCACUCCUGGAUCUGGGCAGCGCGGGGAAGGAGCCCAGGAGCACCUCUGUGACCCGCUGCAGGGGAAGCCCAUAGCUGGGGGCCGGGCUCCCCCAGUGCAGGUCCCAGGGGAGCGAGGCCGACUGGAGACCUGGCCCCGUCCUGCUUCACUGAGCCGCACCUUCCUUAUGGUGUUGGAUUCUCAUAGUGACCCUAGAAGGGAGCCGAACCGAGACCAGGCGGGUUAAGGAAUCUGCCCAGGGUCACACAGCUGGCCCGUGGCAGCCAGGAUUCCCGGCCAGGCGUUUCCCAGUGGGCAGCGGCCCCUACCCCUGGCACCAGGCUGUAAGGACGGUUGCUGCUUUGGGUGUCUGUGGAGCGUCUCCUCUGCGCAGGGGGCUGUGCCUUCCACUCUGGGGAGGGAGGCAGAGGGAGCAGAAUCCCUGCCUGAAACAGGAGACACCAGGAAUCGUGUCACAGUGAAAGAGUUGGAGGUGACACACCUCCAGGACCGGGGAGGUCACGAGAUAGAGAAAGGGAAGCCCGGGUGGCCCAGGGAGGUCUUUGAGAAGGUGGCGCCCAAACUGGGUCUGGAUGAUGUUGGAAUCCAGAGAAAUGGGCCUGUAACGUGGCAUGUCUCUCCCAGGUGCCUACUACUGAUGAAGGGGAGCAGGAGGAAGGCCGAAGGAAGAUUUCUGAAAAAGCAACCAGCCUCCCAGGUCAGGACUGGGGACGAGUGUGUGUGUGUGUGUGUGUGUGUGCGCGUGCUGGGGAUUACCACUGAGUCACAUCUCCAGCCCUUUUUAUUUUGAGAUGAGGUCUUGGUAACUUGCUGAGGCUGGCCCCAAACUUGCAGUCCUCCUACCUCAGCCUCCCAAGUCACUGGGGUUACAGGCCUGUGCUACUGCUCCCGGCAGGAUUGGCUAUCUUUGUCUUCCUCUGAUCUGGUGGACACGAGACUCUUUGCAUAAAAUCUUUUCAUAUUUGGAUACUUGGCAGAGGAUAAAAUGGCAGAAAUAUUUAAUUACCUGAUUCGUUCAAGUGUGACGUGGUUAGCUAAAACUUAGUGAGGGGACCAUGCGCAGAAGGGAGGAAGCAGUGAACUAUUUCACAGUUGGCCCAGGGUACAAAUGGGUGUGCCACCCACCACGUUCCUGGAGUCAGAAAUGGUAUGCAGACGAGGGGGGGGGUCUUUGUCCUGAGAACCUUGCCUUUCAGCCCCCGCUCCCCACACCUUCAGGUCUGGGAAACAAGAAAGGCCGCGGGUCCUGUGCGUUGGACUAAAUGUGUGGGACUCCGGGGUCCUGGCCCCAGGGUCAGAGGCUGGGCAGUUCCUUGGAUGACUCCCGGGCUGUCCGAGGAGGUCCUGGGUCCGGUGUCCCUGCCUGGCUGGCUCCUUCCAGGUGGACGGCCUAGUGUGCGCAGCGCACCUGGAGGAGCUACUGGACCCGGGGCUGAGCUCUGCGCAGCUGGGACGGCACAGACUUCAGCUCCUCCAUCUUCCCUCUCCCUCUGCUUUCCCCACCUCAGGGCCUUUGCACCUGCUUGUUCCUCUGUCUGGAUGCUCUUCUUCCACCCUCCACUUGACCAGCUCCUUCCUACCACCCAGGUUUCUGCUCAAAGGCUCCCUUCUCAGAGAGCCCGUUCCUGACCCUCAUGUAUGACAGAGGUCCCCUCUCCCACGGAGACUCUCUUCCCUUCCUGGGUUUGCUUUUCUUUUUUCUUUUUGGUAGUGGGGAUUGAACCCAGAGGCACUAACCACAAGGCAACCUCCCCAUCUCCAGCCCCUUUUUCAUAGUUUAUUUAGAGACAGGGUCUCACUGAGUUGCUUAGGGCCUCGCUGAGUUGCUGAGGCUGGCUUUGAACUCACGAUCCUCCUGCCUCGGCCUCGAGAGCCGCUGGGGUUCCAGGCGUGGGCCACUGUGCCAGGCCUGUGGUUCGCUUGUCAUCAUCGCCGUGGCCACCGCUAACGUCACCUUGCACGUGACCUGUUAGUCUGCCUCCCUCGACCACACUGUAGUGUCCAGGGGGAGGGUCUUCUCCGUCAUGCCUUUCUGUGUCCUGGAGACUUAGGGCCAAGCCUGGCCACGGGACCCUCCAGACUUUACUGAAUGAGGGAGGGGGAUGGUGACAGAUGACGAAGUAGUGAUCAUGAGCAGCAGGCGUCUGCUCUUCCUGUCAAGGUGUGGGGUGCGCCCCGAGGGACCUGUCUUUGAGGUCCGUGAACGCUCACCGGUCAGGCUGCUGGGCAGUGCCUGGCCCUGGGUGGCAUCAACACCAACAGUGGGCAGCAUUCGUCGGAGGCCUAGGUCCUGGGUCCACCCGGCUGGGGCUCCUGCCUUCCCAGUGGGACAGUGGUGGCUUUGCUUAGGUGUCCCUCUGGCCGGUCCGGGGUCUCUGGCACUCGUAGGAAGGGUCUUUCUGGGGCAGUUAUUAUGAAGCUGAUUGUCCUUUCCUUCAUUCAGUGACACGUUUUGAGAGCUGCUUUGGAGCAGGCCACGGGAGCCGCUGGGAGCCGGGCUGAGGCACCCGGCCUCCUCUGGCCAGAGAGCCAGCUUGGAGGGACUGGGGUACCCGGGGGGACACUCAGCUUGAGUGGGGGUCCCUUCUCAAAGGAAGUGACCUCAUCUAGUCUGAGACCUACUGGUCAGGUAGGGCCUGGGCCGCACAGGGCUGCAGCCCGGGGGGGGCGAGAAGGGGGCGACCUGUGCCCACUGGGCGGAGCGGGGCCACGUGGCCUCCUGUUCCUCCUGUGUCUCCUCCUUUUUUUGUGGCUCUGGGGCCUGAGCAGGGCCUGUCGUGCGAGGCAGCCUCUCCCCCUGAACUUCGCCCCAGCCCAACCCUUUUUCUUCUUCUCCAGGGCAAGAUUCUCUGCCCGUCCCGCUGCCCACGUUCCUGGUAGCUGGGGGAAGCCUGGCCUUCGGCUCGCUGCUGUGCGUCGGCAUCAUCCUCAGGUGAGACGGGCGGGGGUCUCUGUGACGUCCUGUGUGUCGUAUGUAGCUGCCCUUCACCCCGGAACCACCAAAUGUACAGGGGCUGGGGACGGGGCUUGGUGUAGAGCCCUGGCCUGGGGAGCACGGCGCCCUGGGUUCUAGCCCAGCAGCGUGUGCACACAGACAGACACACGUGCACACGCACACACUCACACACGCGCGCACACGCACAUACACACGCGUGCACACACGUGCACACACACACAGAGCCUGCAGUGAGAAGUGCUUUGGGGUCUUGGAGGCCUCCGGCUGGCGGGCGUGGUGGUGCACCCCUGUGAUCCCAGUGACUCAGGAGACCCGGGGAGGCAGGAGGAUUGCGAGUUCGAGGCUCGCCGUGGUGACUUAGAAAGAUCCUGAAUCCACAUAAAAAAAUCUAAGUGGCUUAGGGCCUUGCUCAGUUUCUGAGACUGGCUUUGAACUUGUGAUCUUCCUGCCUCAGCCUCCCAAGCUGCUGGGAUCGAAAUUAUUUUUUUAAAAAAAUUAAAAAGAGGCUGGGGAUACAGCUCAGAGGUCAGGUGCCCUGGGUUCAAUCCCAUUUCCACACACACACCAUCUGGGAGCAUUUGCUCAUCCAUUUAUUCACUCAGCAAAUGAAGGCACCUCCAGCACACAGAGCGCCCACUAGGAGGCUACCCUGAUUCAGCGCUGCAGGACAGAGGCCGAUAGGGUGGAGGCUGUCUAAUGCGGAGGGCAGACUGGGUAGGUGACCACAGGUGUGUGGGUGACAGCUGCCAACAGAGCCGCUGAGCUGGGCACGGAGGCCCACGCCUGUAAUCCCAGCAGCUUGGGAGGCUGAGGCAGGAGGAUCGUGAGUUCAAAGCCAGCCUCAGCAACUUAGCAAGGCCCUGAGAAACUCAGUGAGACUCUGUCUCCAAAUAAAAAAUAAAAAGGGCUGGGGAUGUGGCUCAGUGAUCAAAUGCCCCUGGGUUUAAUCCCCAGUACCACAAACAAACAAAACUUCUUUUGGAUACAGAACUGGUUAUUUUUGUUUGUUGGUUGGUUGGUUGGUUGGUAUAGGGGGAUUGAACUCAACCACUGAGCCACAUCCCCAGCCCUAUUUUAUUUAGUGACAAAUUCUCACUGAGUUGCUUAGGGCCUCGCCAUUGCUGAGGCUGGCUUUGAACUCACGAUCCUCCUGUCUCAGCCUCCAGAGCUGCUGGGAUUACAGGUAUGUGCCACUGUGCCCUGCUCCUACCUUUUAAAUUUAGCAUUCUAAUAUAAGCAUUUUUUUUCCAUGUAUUUACAAAUCCUUUGCAAACUCACUUUCAUUAGCUGCAGAUCCCUCUAUCCGGGAUUAAUACCCAAGUUCACUAAACCAGUCUCCUAUUAUUGGGCAGUUGGAUGUUGUUCUGCUUUUAUAAACAACACUGUGCUGGACAUCUUUGUGCCAUAAGCUUCUCCAUAGCUCUGUUAUUCCCAGAAGAGGAAUUCCUUAGUCAGAGGGUCUGAAUAUUUUGCAAUCCAGAGUAUAAAGAAUCUGUCCUCUAUCUUCUCACAGGGGAGGAGAAUUCCACUCAAGGACUCAGCAAAACUUCAAUAAGCACCCCGCUGGGCUCUUCCUGUGUGGGGCCCAAGUGGCGAAGCCCUAAGUCACAUUCUGAGGUUGUUUAUUCCAUUUGGUCAGUGGGCUCAGAGCCAAAGGCAGACUUGGAGCCAACUAUCAAUUAUCUAUCCUCACAAGGACAGGAAUAGCCUGCUGAUAUAAAAAGAAGCCAAGGAAAAUGCCCAAAUUUUGUUUUUGAUGUUGGUUUCCCUUCCUCCCCGUGGUGCCUCCUGGAGCCACUGAUAUGUGCUGGACUCAGGGAGGCCAUCUUUCUCCCACUCUGGGGACAAGUCAGCCACAAGGUGGUCAGGAGACGGGGGAGAAGAGGCCCGGCUGCCUGGGCGCGGGUGAAGGGCCCCUUCAGGAAGGAGACCGGCUGCACCUUUGAAGAUCAAUGUCACCAUCUCCUCUUUCUCUGAUUGUCAAGUGACUUCUCUCCGUUGCUGAGCCUGGCUUUGGGCCCAGUGUGGAGCCCCGUGAGCAAGGCUGUGAUCAGAGAGAUAGAUGUCUAUCUCCUUCCUGUUUAGCACCGACUUUCCUGUCGGAUGAGUCAACCUGUGCCCGUGUGCCCACAGCGUGAGGGUGGGCACUCUCGCUGGUUGGGUGGGACGGACCAGAGGCUCAGGGAGAGUUGGGGGGAAUGGGAAUGUCAGGGACAGGAGUGUCACCAAGGGCCACUGAAUGGUGGUUGCACGUGGUCUUCGGGCUGGCCUUGAUUUGAAGGAGGCCCAUUUUCCUUCCCUCUAAAAGAAGACGUUGCUGUUUUGUUUUUUAGUCCUGGGGAUUGAGCCCCGGGGGUGCCCUAUCACUGGGCCACAUCCCCAGCUCUUUUUACUUUUUGUUUUGAGACAGGGUCUUGUUAAGUGGCCCGGACUGGCCUAGAACCUGGGGUCCUUCUGCCUCGGCCUCUUGAUUCAUUAGGAUCACGGGCAUGAUCCACCAUGUCUUGAUGUUUCCCUUUUCAAAAAUAAAUGGACUGGGGACUGACGAUGGAUAGCCUGUGGGACAGGACAAAUUGAGGGAUUAGCAGGGACUUGCUGGUGCUCCACCAGGACAACCCUGCCUGCCUCAGUCCCCCUUUUGCCUAGCCGUGGAGACCUCCCUUCUUGGGAUGCUUGGGGAACUCAGCCGCUCUCCGGAGGCUGGCAGAAUCUCUGGGGUUUGAGACCAGCUGCUGAUGGGAUGAAUCAUCAUCACGCCUUGGAGCCGAGCCUGGGCGCUCCAGACCUCCAGGGCCACCAGCUGUUGGGUUCAUCGCAGGGGACCGUCACAUGGGUGUGAUGUGUCUUUGUGUGUUUGCGUGCAGGUUCAAGAAGACGUGGAAGCCACAGGCCCUGAAAGAGUGCAAGACGGGCGUGCACCCGCCGUAUUCCCUGGGGCAGUCCAAGCCCACCAUUGUGCUGGCUCCCCUCCUUUCCCCACCUGUGUCCCCCAGCAGCCUCGGCUCAGACAGCACCUCGAGCCACAGCCGACCAGAUGCCAGGGACUCGCGGAGCCCUUACGACAUCAGCAACAGAGACUACUUCUUCGCCAGAUAGCUGUCUGGGUGGCCCCUGGCAGCGGGGUGACAGAGGUGCUGAAUUGUGUGGGUGACGCAGCCCACGCUGGCUCUGGAAAGACGCUUCUCACUGCCAUUCCAGCUCAUCUCAGGGGCGUGGGGCAUUUGGCUUCACGGUGACGGAAGAGCCUGCAGAAGGUUCUAGACUGGUGGAAAUCGGCUUGCUACACCUGUUCUGAAGGAAGAGCUGGUUGAGCUUUCAAACCGCUCUUCCCAAGCGCUCUGCUUCGGGGGGUCUCAGCGACUCAGGACACUGUGAAGAGAGCCGCGCCAAGACUCGAUGGGACCGAGGGUGUGGAGGAGCUGCCGGGCACCCCCACACCCGGACUCAUCUCUGCCAGCCGAACCCUCAGGCAGGGGCAGGGGCUUCCAGGAGGCCUGCCGUGGUGGCUGGCUCCUGCCCCUGCCCAGUCGCACCUUGUCCCUCCGACUCUGGAAACCCAAGUGCCUUUGCCAUUCUGUUUCCUGGACUGAGGAUGGCUUUGUGCAAACCACUGAGGCUGGGGAGGGAGCUCUUUCCUGCCUUCCCCCCACACUUGAAAAGCAGCUGGUGUGUGAGUGUGAGUGUGAGUGUGUGUGCAGGGGGUGGUGAAUAAGUCUCAGGGCCGAUGGUUUAAGUGGAAUCAUAAUCAGCUCCUCACGAGUGUUGUGCUCAAUGUGAAUGAUAACCCUAGGCUUUUGCUGGCUACAGAAGCAGCUGCGCCAACUUUGUCCCCCUGUUGGGGUCUCAGGGCUUGAGGACAGAAGCAGAGAGGAAGGAGGGGAGUAGGGACAGGGUCUUCAAGGUCCCCUGUUGUAGCUGAGGGGGACCCCAGCCUCUGGAAACCAGUUUCCUCUCCCCCCUGCCAGUGCUGGGAGCCAAGUCAGUUGACUUCAUCUUGGUUGGUUGGGGUGCCGACCGGACCUGAGUGAUCAGUGUAGACGGUGUCGGUGUGAAAGGAAAAACGAAUCCGCAAGAAUGUGCUUCGUGUUUUUGAAAACCUGCUCUUUUCUCUUGAGGUGCUGGGAGCCUCAGUCUUCUCUGGAUUUCGGUUUAUAAAUAACUUGGGGCGGGGCACGAUGAUUCUGUUUAGCACCAAAGCAAGUCCACUCAAAAAAGGAGGAGGAGGAGAAGAAGUUUCCCUUAUGGAGAAGAGAUUCUGGUUUCAUUCUGUAUUUUGUUUUUGUCUUGCAAACCGUAAAAAUAGUCUCUGCCUCUUCUCUGAAUUGGGGAAAAAGUCACUUGUGACUGUCCCCCUGCCCCUCCCCUAGGUGGUUAGGAAAGAAAGGGUGUCCCCCUUCCUGUUGUGAUGCCGCCCACGAGUACCCGGCAGGGUCCUAGAAAGUCCCCACUGAGACUCAGAAGGGAGGUUCAUUUUUUUAAAAAUAUAAAUCCCUUACCUGGGUUUCUUCCUCUUUUUGUUUUGUUCCUUGAACUGGAUUCGGCUCAGCUCCCAUGGAAGCAGCCGAUGGGUGUCCAGCUGUGACACCCGUAACCACCAGCUCACUUUCCUGUCGGGGCUUUGAGAACUCAGUGAUGUUAGUGUCACCCAGACAGGUGACCACAGAGGAGAGCGGUGAUUAAAACGAGCUGUGGAGCCACAGACCCUGAAUUUACCAGACCACAAGGCUUUUCUAGAAGUUUACCCUUUUAGAAAAACACCACCGCCACCAGACACGUGGCGAAGGGUGGAAGCCCCCAUGUGUUCGCCAAGCGCCGGGUUCUGGGCGUCACUGUCUCGAGCCCUGGUGGCUCUCACAUCCUGCCGUCUUAGGCGGGUGGUCCACGGGGUUGACAAGAGUCAAGCAGGUGUUCAUGGCUCUCCUUUCCCCCCGCUCUGUCAGGUUUCUGAAUCACAAAAAUGCUGUGAAAGGAAAUGUUAGAAUGAGGAUCUGCAUGAGAGAGUGCGACUCUGCCCACGGCUCUUUAACUCUCACACAGUUCUGCCCACAGCCAGGCAGGGCCGCUGGUGGGGGACGUGAGAUCCAGAGAGUUCAUCGUCUCUGAGAGCGAGGCAGCUUUGAUCUCCAAAUUGUUAUUGCUUUCACUAUUAUUGUACCGGAACUGCCUUUUCUUUUGGGGGGAGGCGGUAUCACAGAGGGUUCCCCCCUUUACUUGUUGUAAGCUAGUGCCAGUGGAGGAAAGGCUGGCCUCUCUGGGCUCAGAGUCUGCUUCGUGGCCAGGCCCCUGCCUUAGGCUUUCUGUGUCUGAAUGGUUCCUGGACACGUGUCUCUGUCCACUAGUCCCAUGGAUCACUCUUCCUUAGGUCCCUGCAGUCCACAGGCUGCCUUGGAUCCUCAACAGGGCCGACACUACCUACGGCCUGCGCCCUCAGCCACAUAGCCAGAUGUUGAAGUGUGUGGACAGGGACCAUUGAAGGAGGAGGGAUGCACGAAUUUAGAAGCCCAUCUUGUUGGGUGGGCCCAGUCGAAAAUAUGCUGGACCCAGGUCUAACCUAAAGUGAUCAUCAGUUCUUGUAGCAUUAAUGACAUGUUUUUAAAAAAACAUUGGAUGUGUGUCGUACAAGGUCUUUGGGGGACUCCGCGGUUUGCUCUGAUGGGGUCUCCCCCUGGCCGUUUGUUUGCCGGACCCUGAACUCACACUGGGCCUCCACCACUUCCCCGCUGUCUCAGGAGCAAGGCGUGGGCUCCGUUGUGGGAACUGGUUUGGGAGCCCCGUGGUCCUGAGUAGAGCCCAGCGGGCAGCCUGGGGCUGGCCAUGGCUUGUGAGUCUCUUGAAGAUUGUUCCGGAAUGUCUUGCCCAGCUGCUCCGGCGCUGUCUGUUCCCAUUGCAGGUCCUUAACAUUGACCCACUUGGGAAGGUGUCCCACCCCCAGUUCCAGGUGGAGAUGGUGACAAAUCUGUCCUCAUUUGGAGACGGGAGCCACCAACGGUCCUUCUCCAAACAGCAACCUGCAAUGGGGCUGUGGCCAGAAGGCUCCAGCAGCUGCCUCCGGCUUUGGGCCAGGCACUCCCAGGCGUCCCCUAAAAGUCCUUCCAGCCUCUGUCCCUAGUGUGGCUGGGCGCCAGCUCCAGGGAGUUCCCAUGGCAACCUUGAUGAUCGUUAAGGAACAUUGUCAGUUUUCUGAACAUGUGCUCAGAUGGAGAUCUGCUUUGGAAGGGAAGGACUGGGACAGCGAGAGACCUCGCUGGAGGAGCCCACGCCUGCUGACCACGAUACCUCAGCUCUGCAUCGCUUUUGGAGAGAAAUAGAUCAUCGUUUUAAGGGACUUCCCUCUUAAUUACCUGAAAACCAAUACCAAAGGCUGAUGUCAGUGUAUUUUGAUUUUUCAACGCUUUUUUCCUUUUAUCGCUAUUUUGCACUUAAAGUGAACAUGGUA